rnacentral:lncRNA from 1 species
CUCAUCCUCAUCCUUUCCUCUUCCUCAUCCUCAUCCUCAUCCUUAUCCUCCUCAUCAUCCACCUCUUAAUCCUAUCCUAAUUCUCAUCCUCCUCCUAUCCUUAUCCUCAUCCUCACCCUCAUCCUCAUCCUCAUCCUCAUCCUCAUCCUCAUCCUCCUCCUCAUCGUCAUCCUAUCCUCAUGCUCAUUCUAUCCUCAUCCUCGUCCUCAUUCUACUCCUCAUCCUAUCCCCGUCCUAAUCCUCAUCCUAUCCUCAUUCUAAUUCUCGUCCGUAUCCUAUUCUCCUCCUUAUCCUCAUCCCUCAUCCUCCUCCUCAUCCUAUCCUCAUUCUCCUCGUCAUCCUAUCCCCAUUCUCAUUCUCCUCCUCAUCCUAUCCUCAUCCUCAUCCUAUCCUUAUUCUCCUCCUCAUCCUCAUCCUCGUCCUCAUCCUAUCCUCAUCCUCAUCCCAUCNNNNNNNNNNNNNNNNNNNNNNNNNNNNNNNNNNNNNNNNNNNNNNNNNNNNNNNNNNNNNNNNNNNNNNNNNNNNNNNNNNNNNNNNNNNNNNNNNNNNUUUAUAUAUUAGAAUACCAUUAAACCUGUGUUGGAAUUUAUUCCACAAAACCUAGAUGGUACUCAAAGAUACUUAAUAAUUAUGUAAUAGUUAAUUGCUUCAAUACCAUUAUACCGACGUUACAGUUUAUUCUAACAAAGCCGAGAUGGAGCAAAGAAGGAAUGACUUAUUUACCUGAUUAUAGAAGAAGUAAGUUGUAAUUGGAAUAUUCUUGAAACCAUUAUACCGGUGUUGGAAUUUAUUUCAACAAAACCGAGAUGACGAACAAAGAAUAAAACCGAGUUCUCUUACUUAAUUAAACAAAAUGAACAUAACGAAAAUGAGAGUACUAAACUUUCAAAAAAUUGGCACUGCUGUUCGGACGAUUUGUUGAGAGGAGAAAACUCCCAAUAAAACACCAAGAAACCGGCUUUCAACAAAUUGGCGUCGUUGCCGGGGAAUUGCUUUAAUAAUAAAACAUUUCAUAUUUAUAUGACAUUAAUCAAAUAAUUGUGCAUAUACUUAUUUUGCUUUCGUACAAAUUAUUUCUUUUUGACUUUGUACAAAAAUGUUAAUUAUUAAAUAUAUAUAUUUUAAUUUCUGCAAAGAUGUACAUUAUGAUUUCUUUACAUACUAAUCUCCUUUCUUUUUGGAAAUAGACAAAAUGAUUCGUUUUGAUCUCAAAUUUUCAGAUAUGGACCAACAUGUUGAUCUGCAACAAGAAGUUGAGCAAUUCAUCAGAGAAUUUCAAUCCAAGCUCAAUAUGGUCCAUCAAAAAAUUCAAGAUCUUCCUGAACAAAUAAAGCAAACCAACAGAGCAAGUUCUUGGUGCAAUAUUUGUGCAUACAAUCAAAAUGUCUAUGCUUUCCAAUCAACUCCCACUUAUCUUGACGAAUUGGAGAAAAUUCUUGACCAAUUCAUACAAACCACUAUCAACCAUCAACAAAACACCAAGGAUGCUCUCAUAAAAAUAGAAGAACAAAUCAAGAGCUUAACAAAAACUUAUCUUGUCAAGUCAGAAUUUUGUGAAAGUGUUACAACUCGAAGUGGAAAGAUAGUUGGUGGAGUUGAAAAACAAAAAGGAAGAUUAGAUGAAAAAAAUAAUAAAGAAGAAAAAGAAAAUAAAAAAGAAGGAAAAGAAAAAGAGACUACUGAGGUAAGAAAAGAAGAAAAUUCAUACUCACUAGUACAAAAAAAAAUACCCUAUCCAAUAGCUCCGUUAAAAGCCAAAAGAGAAGAACAAUUCGCAAGAUUCAUGGAAAUAUUCAAAACUCUGCAAAUCAACAUCCCUUUUGCUAAGGCCUUGGAGAAAAUGCCAAUUUACUCCAAGUUCAUGAAAGAACUGCUAUCCAAAAAACGGAGUUAUCAAGAAAAAGAAAUUGUUUCACUCAAUGCCACUUGUAGUGCGAUUCUUCAAACAAACAUUCCUCACAAAUCUAAAGAUCCAGGCAAUGUGACCAUUCUAGUUACUAUUGGAAAUGUGUCCGUAGGCAAAGCUCUUGUCGAUCUUGGAGCCAACGUAAGCUUGAUGCCACUGUCCAUGAUGAAAAGAAUUGGAGGAAUUCAAUUAAAGCCUACAAGGAUGUCCUUGCAACUAGCAGAUGGAUCCAUAAAAUAUCCUGAAGGAGUUGCAGAGGAUGUUAUGGUCAAAGUGGACAAAUUCUUGAUUCCGGUUGAUUUUGUUGUCAUUGACAGAAUUGAAGAUACGGAGAUCCCGCUCAGUUUAGGGAGACCCUUUAUGAGGACAACAAAAAUGGGGAUCGACAUGGAAAAUGACAAAUUAUUAGUCCGAGUUGCGGACGAUGAAAUCAAAUUUGACAUUUUCCAUACAAUGCAUCAUCCGAAGGAUAAAGGGCAAUGUCUGCAACUAGAUGUUAUUGAAGAAAUUUGUGCAGAGCACCCUCAACUUGACAAAUCCUUGGAGAUACAAGAAUAUAGAGUGGAAGAAGAAAUCAUCCGACAUUUUUAUGAUGAAUUAUUCCUCCACCAAAAUCCAAGUGGACCAGCCGAAAAAGAAUCAGAACUGGAACUGGAGGAAUUGCCAUCCCAUUUGAAAUAUGUUUUCUUAAAUGGGGAAACCAACAAUUUAGUUAUCAUUAAUAGUGAGCUGUCCAAAUUGGAAGAGGAAAAACUUAUACAAAUCUUGAAAAAGCAUCAAGCAACAUUGGGAUGGACCUUAAAAGAUCUCAAAGGCAUCAGUUUAACAUCUCUUAGAGUGCCAUUUUCAACUUGUUCACGGAUGAAAUGGAAAUCCAAGGCAAUGUGCUUCGACCUGGUACUUAUGAGUGGAUUCUUGCUCAUGAAAAUUGCUCCCAUAUUGUCACAUAACAACAAAGGAGGCUGAUGAAAUAGAGCAUGGAGAUCAGUAAUAAGUUGUUUUAUCCACAACAGAUCAACAGCGGUGUAGGCAAGUGAACGAUAUUCUACUUCUGUACUAGAGCGAGCUACGACGCAUUGUUUUCGAGAAGGCCAACUGAUAAGAUUGGAACCAUGGAAAAUGGCAUAACCAUACGAAGACUUGUUGUCAUCUUUGUCAGAAAUCCAACCUGCAUCAGAGUAAGCAAGAAGGGAUGUGGCCUUUGUAGGAGUAAAAUGAAGGCAGUAAUGUAAAUUGCCUUUUAAAUACCACAUAAUUCUUUUGGUGGCUUGCCAAUGGAGAGUAGUUGGUGAGUUCAUAAACUGACAGACUUGGUUCACUGCAUAGGCAAUGUCUGGACGGGUGAUGGUAACAUAUUGAAGAGAACCCACAAUCUGACAAAAGAGAGUUGGAUCAUGGAAGGGAUCCCCUUGACGAGUGAGCCUGGAAUUAGGGUCAGCGGGUGUGGAAAUGGCAGAGGCUUCAGUCAUUUUGUUACAGCGAAGAACAUCCUAAAUGUAGUGUUGUUGUGAGAGUGUGUUACCCCGUAGAAGACAUGCUGAUUUGAAAGCCCAAGAAAUAAUGUAAAUUGCCUAGAUCUUUGAGUGCAAACACCUUAUGUAAUUGAGUAGUGAAGUGCUGAAUGUGAGAUGCAUUGGUAUCUGUUAUGAUUAAAUCCUCCACAUAUAUAAGAAUGUAAAUGAUGGAGAAGGAAGAGAUGUGAAUAAACAAGGAGUUGUCUGAUUGACAGGUUCGAAAUCCAUGAGUAACAAGAUAAUGCUUGAGCUUAUUGAACCCUGCACGAGGUGCCUGUUUGAGACCAUAAAUUGCCUUAUGAAGACGACAUACAUGGGAAGGACGAGAAGGAUCUUGAAAGCCUGGUGGUUGUUUCAUGUAUACCUUUUCUGAUAAGUCACCAUUGAGGAAAGCAUUGUUGAUAUCAAGUUGUCGAAUACACCAACCAUUAGAAUGAGCAAUUUAAAGUACCAACCGAAUUGUAGUGGGUUUAAUAACCGGACUGAAUGUAUCAAAAAAUCAAUACUCGCCUGUUGAUUGAAUCCUUGUGCCACCAAACGAGCUUUGUGACGCUCAAUCAAAUCAUCUGAGUUCCUUUUAAUCCUGAAAAUCCACUUACAACCGACAAUAUUAACAUUAGUAGGACAAGGAACAAUAGACCAUGUGUUAUUUCGCAUGAGAGCAUCAUAUUCACUUUUCAUUGCUUGCUGCGAGGAAGUAUGUUUGACAGCUUGGGUAUAGUUGUGAGGUUCAGUGGCAUAAGGGGAGAAUUUGAUUUUAAAAAGUUUGGGUUUCAAGGAAUUAGUUUGAGCUCUAGUGAGCAUAGAGUGGGUUUUAUUUGGUGCAGGCCGAUAAUAGGAGGUGUUGGGUUGGUUUUGUUUGGCACAUGAGCUUAUGGUGGAUUGUUGAUAUAGAGGACUACUGGAAGGAGUGGGUUUCAUGUGGAGGGGAUGAUGGGACAUGUGGGUAUGAAAGUGGCAAUAUAGCAGCAUGUUGAAGGAGUUGCAGUGAACUUACUAGUGGUGCUGACAUGGGUGAAGGAACCAUGGUGGAGGACAUGGAAGCAUAUGGAAAGAGUUCCUCAUUAAAAACAACAUGACGGGAAACAUAUAUUCGGGAAGACGGUUUGUGAAAGCAAAGAUAACCUUUAUGUGUGACACUGUAGCCAAUAAAGACACAUGGAUGAGACCGAAAAUUGAUUUUAUGUUUGUUGUAUGGUCAUAAGAAAGGGUAGCAAACACAACCAAAAGUUUUGAGAAAAUUAUAAUAUGGAAUUUGGUGAUAAUUUUUGGUACGGAGAUUGAAAAUGGAGUAGAGAGGUGAUGGUACGAUUGUGAAGAUAUGUUGUACUUUUGAAAGCAUGUUCAAAAUACUUAGGAAGAGAGGAUUGAGCUAAGAGUUUAGGAACAAUAAACACACUAGGCAAGCAAAGAUUAGGCAGUGAACAUGAACCCACAUGAGAAAUAGACAGAUGGUUACCAUUUCCUACUUGUAGCUUGUCAUCUCCAGUGUAGUCAUCGACAAUUGUGAGUUUCUGAAGAUCUAGAGUGACAUAAUUGGUGGCAUCGGUGUCGAAGUACCAGGAUGGGUCCAUAACAGUGGAAGAACUUCCUGAUUGUGCUAUAUGAGCCUGGCGUUGUGGAACUCUUGGAUUUGAACGAUGAGAAGGGAAAUCAGUGUGAUUUGCUUGCUGCCAACAAUCGAUUGCCUCAUGUCCUGGUUUACUACACAAUUGACAUGUGGGACGAUGACGACAAUUGUCACUGUUGCGAGUGGUGAAAGAGUCAAGACCUUUGUAAGUUUUGGAGAGGGACUGGUUAGAGAACCGAUUUGUAGUGAAAGCAUAUGAGCUAGAGAGAAGUGAGGUUGAGGUGUUGGUGUGUGGUACGACAAUAACAUGGCGAGUGUGUUCCUGUUCGAGGCGAGCCUCCUCUUGUAGAAGGAGACCAGCCAUAUCAUCAUCUGAUACGUCUUCAGAUUUCAUCAUGAAGGCAGUAGAAAAAGCACCAUUGGAGGAAUCAAGACCACUCAAUAUGUAGCCAACUAGAUCUUCAUCGGAGAUGGGAUGAAGAUUUCUCGCAAGAGAGUCAGCAAUGCAGCGUUUACGCUUAAUAUAAUUCAGCAUAGAAAGAGACCCUUUUGUCAAAGUCUAUAAUUGAACCUUCAUAGCCAUAUGAUGAGCUCUGGUGUGAGCUUGGAACGUAUUUUCAAUGGCAGUCCAAGCCAUGUGAGAGGAUGUGGCACGAACGACCAAGGAAAGUGCUUGCUCAGAGAGGAUGGAUUUAAUCCACAAUAGAACAAAGCGAUCAUGCUAUUUCCAAACACAAAUUUAGGGUUUGGUUCGGUGGUUGCAGAACCGUCUUGGUCAGCGACAAGAUGAGUUUCUCGUGGUGGAGAAGGAUGUAGAAUGAAAGUCUCAAGAUCGAAGGUCUCAAGAGUAGAGACAAUGGUAGAUCGCCAUAAAGAGUAAUUUUCUCGUUCAAGUUUAAUAUUGAUGGACGGUAUUUGUAGAUUCAGAUUGGGAUGUGUGGUGUUGGCAAGGGCCAAAAGGGAUUGAUUGGUAUUGGCCAUGAAAAAAUAGUUGAAGUUCCAAAGUGGCGAAGAAAAAAAAAUAUGUGGCUUUGGAUACCAUAUAGAGGAAUGAACAUUUGUGUAUAUAUUUACUGAGUUUGAGUAGUUGUUUUACAAAGAUAUUUAUACAGCAAAAGUAAAAAUAACUAUAAGGGAGAGGAGGCCUAAAUACACAGUACCCACUCAACUACAUACAAAGGAGUGGGAAAGAAAUAGUCAAAAAGUGCCUAGAAUUUAGGAAUGAAUAUCUAUAGUUGUUAAAAAUUGAAGUUUUAGACUAAUCUCUUUCAAGAAUUACAUUCAGAUUAUCAAUGUGGAAUUUGUCUAUAUCAAUAAAGUCUUUUCCAUGCAUUCGACACAAACAAAACUCCAACAUCACGUAUAAAGAACUCAUAUAUCUACGACUCAUAUUCAAAUAGAUCAAGUCUUUUCCUUAGAAAAAAACAAUACAAAUUAUAGGUUUGGGUAGGGCUGACAAUGAACCGAACCAAUUUGGUAUUCGUUUGAAACUCGAUUUAUUACUUAGCUCGAUAAACUUGGUUCAUGAACCAAAUGAGCCGAACUUGAGCUAGAAAUUUAGCUCAUUAAAUAAACGAGCCGAAAUUGAGUUUGAUACAGUUCGACUCGUUAGGUUCAUGAGUUGGCUCGAUAUANNNNNNNNNNNNNNNNNNNNNNNNNNNNNNNNNNNNNNNNNNNNNNNNNNNNNNNNNNNNNNNNNNNNNNNNNNNNNNNNNNNNNNNNNNNNNNNNNNNNCUCAUCCUUGUCCUCAUGCUAUCCUCAUCCUCAUCCUCUUCCUCAUCCUAUUCUCCUCCUCACUCUCGUCCUCAUCCUCUUCCUCAUCCUCAUCCUCCUCCUCGUCCUAGGCUUAUCCUCAUCCACAUUCUCAUCCUCAUCCUAUACUCAACCUCAUUCUCGUCCUAAUCUUGUCCUCAUCCUAAUCCUCAUCCUCGUCGUCAUCCUAUCCUCAAUCUCGUCCUCAUCCUAUCCUCAUCCUCUUCCUCAUCCACCUCCUAUCCUCAACCUCAUCUUAUCCUCAUUCUCGUCCUCAUCCUUAUCCUCAUCCUCAUCCUCAUCCUCGUCCUAUCCUCAUUCUCAUCCUCUUCCUAUUCUCCUCCUAUCCUAAUCCUCAUCCUCAACCUAUCCUAAUCCUUCUCCUCAUCCUCAUCCUCAUCCUCAUUCUUAUCCUCAUCCUCAUCCUAUUUCUCAUCCUUAUCCUUAUCCUCAUCCUCUUGGUCAUCCUCAUCCUCAUCCUAUCCUCAUUCUCAUCCUCUUGCUAUCCUAUCCACAUCCUCAUCCUCGUCCUCAUCCUAUUCUCCUCCUAUCUUAAUCCUCAUCCUCAACCUAUCCUAAUCCUUAUCCUCAUCCUCAUCCUCAUCCUCAUUCUUAUCCUCAUUCUAUAUUCAUCCUCUUCCUAUCGUCAUCUUCGUCCUCUUCCUAUCCUCAUCCUCAUCCUCCUCCUAUCCUAAUCCUCNNNNNNNNNNNNNNNNNNNNNNNNNNNNNNNNNNNNNNNNNNNNNNNNNNNNNNNNNNNNNNNNNNNNNNNNNNNNNNNNNNNNNNNNNNNNNNNNNNNNGCAAAUCAUUGUUUUGAUCAUUUUCAUGAACUUUAAGUUGUGAUGGUGAAUUGCUCGUUGAUAUGUGUCAUCCUCUCUCGAGCUCCGACACGUGUACUCAAUUGAAGUGCACAUACUCUCGUGGUAUUGUUAUCAAUAAAAUCAUUUACUUGGAUCUUUAUAUCAAAUCGCUUCGUAACAACCCAAGGUGAAUUCCAUAAACCCUCGAGAAUCCUAAUAUCACUCUUGUGAAUUAGGAUUCUAGUUUGAAUAACUGAACAGUUAAAUAGUUUGAUUCACCUAUCGGUCCUUCCCCAAUGUAUCUAAGAGGUGUAAUUUGUUGGCCANNNNNNNNNNNNNNNNNNNNNNNNNNNNNNNNNNNNNNNNNNNNNNNNNNNNNNNNNNNNNNNNNNNNNNNNNNNNNNNNNNNNNNNNNNNNNNNNNNNNAAACUUACAAAUGUUUCCCAAAAUACUUAGAAUUUGUAGACAUCUGAUUGAAACAUUGAAAUUCUCUUAAUAUGUCUUACUUUAUCAUAUUAUUGUUUUUCAAUCAACCCUUCUUUUUAAAAUAUACAUUUUCAAUCAUUUCUCCUUUAAUAUACUUUGUAUUAUUUUUUUAUUCAUUUUUAUUAUUAUUUUCUAAAAGAAAAAUGAUGAUUUUUCCUUUUCACAUUUUUAUGGAUUUUUUCACUAUACAUGGCCUUUGUAUCUUUCUCAUUGCUUCAACGAAACAUCACAAAUUACCACAAACCCUCAUUUGAGUAGAUAUGAAAAAUCAUUAAAGUUCAGUAUAUACUUUUAUCCUUAGAGUUCAGUAAAGUUCAAGACAAAUAGAGUCUAAGUCUUCAAUAUAUACUUUUAUCUUUUACACUCUAGUAUGUUUAGUGAAUAAUGUUCAAGUGGAAAAUAAAUUUAUUUUGAAAUGAAAUUGGAAAACUCUUAGACAAUGUAAGGAAUUUUCAAAAUACUACGUAACAAGUUACUUGACCUGAGUAACAAGUUACUAGAACUAGGUAACAUGUUACUUCAACUAUGCAACAGUGAGUAACAGGUUAUAGAGACUGUGUAAAAGGUUACAUAACUGAGUAAAAAGUUAACCAGUACCUUUUCAAUCAUUUCUCCUUUAAUAUACUUUGUAUUAUUUUUUUUCAUUUUUUUAUUCAUUGUUAUUAUUAUUUUCUAAAAGAAAAAUGAUGAUUUUUUCCUUUUCACAUUUUUAUGGUUUUUUUCACUAUACAUGGCCUUUGUAUCUUUCUCAUUGCUUCAACCAAACAUCACAAAUUACCACAAACCCUCAUUUGAGUAGAUAUGAAAAAUCAUUAAAGUUCAGUAUAUACUUUUAUCCUUAGAGUUCAGUAAAGUUCAAGACAAAUAGAGUCUAAGUCUUCAAUAUAUACUUUUAUCCUUUACACUCUAGUAUGUUUAGUGAACAAUGUUCAAGUGGAAAAUAAAUUUAUUUUGAAAUGAAAUUGGAAAACUCUUAGACAAUGUAAGGAAUUUUCAAAAUACUACGUAACAAGUUACUUGACCUGAGUAACAAGUUACUAGAACUAGGUAACAUGUUACUUCAACUAUGCAACAGUGAGUAACAGGUUAUAGAGACUGUGUAAAAGGUUACAUAACUGAGUAAAAAGUUAACCAGCAAAUUUAACAUAGUGUAACUGAUUAUUCGUCAAACAGAGAGUUUGGGUCAAUUACAUUACGAUGUAACCGAUUACACAAAGGUGCUAAUAUAACCAUAAUUUCAAAUCCAAAUUGAACAAAUUUCAUCCAAAUUCAAUGAGUUUUUUCCAAUCGUGUCCUAACUUCGUGGAAGAGUAAAUUGGCUUAUUGAAAGCAUAUUUAAAGACAUUAAAAUACUCAUUUCGAAAUGAUUGAGAUACACGAAAUUUUCACAUAGAAUUUAUGCAACUUUUUAUUCUAAACUUUCACUUUUUCUAAAGUUGAUUUAAUUGGAAGUUCUAAAGUUUUUAAAACUUAAACACUUCCAAGAGCAAUUGUAUAAUAAGUAUAUUGAGAGCAAAAUGAUUGAAUGUUAUAGAAUUGUUAUUUUAUCUUGUAAAUGCAUUCUUGCCCUAGAAUUUAUUCUUCAAAUCUUGUUGAAAAACAUGUCAUCACAAGAGUGUGGUGAGAAGGGGAAAGAGAGUAGUUAGAAAGGUUGUUUCCCAAGGUUGUAAUGUAUUUCUGAGUGAGCAAGGUGCAAGGAGUCUCGGAGAGAAAAAUUGUAAUUACAACUCAAAAUAUCUAAGAAAGAAAUCUUUUGUGCUGCAAGAAUACUGAACAUAGCUUACAGUAGACAAGAAGGUGAACCAAUACAAAUAUCGAUGUUUUAUCUCUCUUCUCUCUACUAUUUCUAUUUCUUUUUGAAGUUUUAUUUGAUAAUCAUUCUACAACAUUUCCGCUGCAUCACACUCUGAUAUUUUCAACAGAAAAAUUGACUAUUACCCCCAACAAUUAAUUUACUCACUCUUCUUACUUGUCAUCUAAUACUUACAAAAAUAUAUUUUUUACAUGCAUUUCAUUUCUCUUCACCACUUUUCUACAUAUUGAACAAUCGAUUAAGUUAAAAUGUUAUUAUUUGUAUAUUUUCAUUCUAGGAAAUAGAAUUAGAAAAAAUUAACUUUAUCCAUAUUCACUAAAAUGCAUAUCAUGGUGCAAUGUAUACAUGAUCUUCAUCUUCAUAGUCUUGAUUGAUAUUUAAUUACUUAUUUUUUAAAAUUACAUUAGGUUACAGUUUAUCGUGAUAUUUUCUAAAUAUGAUUACAUUAUUUUUACCUGCUUAGUUAUAAUUAUUAAAUAAUUUAGAUCCUAAGAAAUAAAUUAUAAUCAACUAGAAAACAAAUUUUCACUCUCCAUAAUAGAAAAAUAAUUAAUAUUAAUUAAUGGUUGAAAUUGAUAUUAUAUUUUCAACCAUAAUUUAGACAAUAUAAUGUAUUAUAAGGGCUCAUAAUUUAAUUUCAAAUAAUUAUUCUAAUUUAAUUUAAUUUCAAAUUGUUAAUUUAAAAUUUAGGCUGAUGUUAUUACGUUACAUUAUUAUAUAUUGCUAAAUUUAUGGUGUCAUUAUGUAUAAUUUAACUUUUUACGUUACUAUUUUAAUUCUUAUUAAAGUCGUGCAAUGUAUGUUACAUUGCUUACUACAUGUAUUAAUUUAAUUUAUUGCAUAUUGUCAUUUAAGAAAUCUUCAGUUUUGUACCAAUUUGAAAAGGAAAAUCAUUUUAAAAAUGAGAAUUAAUUUUUUUAAUUAUCAGUCGAUAUUAUAGAAUAAUUUGAAAUAUAAUAUUAAUUUGAAAAUCUAAACAAUGCUUUACUAGUGCAGAUUCAUAUAUUGUAAUUUUAUGUAAUUAUAUAUAUUAAAUUUCAACUCAUUUCAUAUCAGAUAAAUCUUAAUACAUUUUUUGUAUCCGUUAGUGGCAAAUCCUAUUGUUUUUCAUUCUUGAUUUUUAUAUUUAUUGCAUAAUUAUCUCAUCAUAUAAAUGAGACAUCCAUGUGUAUUUAUUAUUUAUGAUUUUAGAUAUAAUAGUUGUUGUGUUCAUUUUGAGAUAUAAUUGACGAGAUUCAAAAAUUACGUUUGGAGAUGGGUAAUGUUUAUUAAUUUUAUUUAAAAUUAUAUUAUAUUUACACAUAUUUUAUUAAUUGAAUUAAUUUUAUUCACAUAUUUUUUCUCUUUCUUUUUGUCUUCCAUCUCAGGAGUACAUAUUCUUUUCUCACAAUUUAUGUUACUCGAUGUGCUAUCGGUUGUGAUGGUUAGAAAAACAAUUAAUAAUUAAACUUUUAACUUAAAUUUAUUUUUUCAACCAAUCACAACUUAUGAUAUAUAUAGUUAUACAAAAUGUGGGACACCAGAGCUGCUCCCUUCUAUCUCUUACAUUCUCAAAUCUCUUUCUCCAAUUUCAUCAAAUUUCAUACUCAACUUCUUUGAACCUUCUCACGGGUAAGACUUUUUUAACAUUUUUUUCUCCUUUCAGUCACUUAUUUUACUCUUUGUCACAAGUUAACAUUUUGUCUAUCUUCCUUACAUUUAUUUCUCAAUAUUGAAUUUCUUAUAACAUGAAUAACUCAAGACUAAUACAUUUCUAAUAUAUUCUUUCUUUCUUUAGCCACUCGUUUUACUUUGUAACAAGUUAACAUUUUGUCUACGUUCCUUACGACUUCUCCAUAUUUAAUUUCUCAUAGAUAAUUUUUUCUUCUCACAUAACUUCUCUAUGUUUAAGUUUUCACAAGUAAAUUUUUCAUUCCACACAAUUUCUCAUUGUUAUUGAUAAGGAAAUUCAAUAGAAAAAAUGUUGGCUAUAUUAUUCAAUUUUAUUAUUUCAAGCUAUUCGAUAUGAGUUAUUUUAUGAUUUUAUAUUAUGUUAAUUUGGCUUCGAUAGAAUUAAUGUGGAAUGCGUUUUUAGAACUAAUUGUGUGUACAUUUUUUAUGAGUAAAUUACACUGACACCCCUUAAGUUUUAGCAAAAUUGCACAAAUCACCCCUCAAUUUUCUACACCUACACAAACCCCCUAAUUUUUAUACUUUUAUUACACGGAUCACCCCUGCAUGAGAAAUAAAUGUAAUCUUUUAAAUAAAAAAUGGGAUAAAUGUAACUAAGUUAAACAAAAAUGAUAUAUUGUGGAGAUAAGUCCAAAUAAUAUAUGAGUCGAUACCUCAUUAUUAUUUUUGGUUCUUUACGAUAUAAUAUAAGAGCAAUUUAAACAGUAUCUCUUUAGAAUUGUUGAUGCAUUUUGUAAUAAAAAAUAAUAUAGAUACAUCGAUUUGUAUAUUAUUUGAAUUUUUCCUCAUAGUAUACGAUGUUUUGUUUAACUUAAUUGCAUUUAUCAUAUUUUAUUUAAAAAAUUACACUUAUUUCUCAUGCAGGGGUAGUCAGUAUAAUGAAGGUAUAAAACUAUAAGAAGUUUGUGUAGGUGUAAAAAAGUGAUGGGUGGUUUGUGUAAUUUUACUAAAACUCAGAAGUUAUUAGUGUAAUUAACUCUUUUUUAUCUCUUUCCCUCUCCCGGAGUCAUCUACUUUUGCCAUUUGUCAAGCAGUCAUUGACCAAGACCGCAUCCCAAGUGGUAGUUUAAGACUGGAUAGUGAUUUCUCCAAAAAAAAGUAGCCGCCAACAAAGACCUCAUGGUACCAAUUUUCAAGAGAAUGUUUCUAAUGUUGUUCUUGGUCACCAGGAAAUGGACCAACACAGUAACUUCCUUUUUCUUAUAAUAUGUGCUGCCCUUGGUCACCAAGCAAAUGAACCAACAUUGUAACUUCCUUUUCUUAUCAUAUAUGGCAUAUAAAUAAAUCACCUUACCUCAAUUUCAUUCAUUUACAACACUACCCAUUACAUUUAUAUCCUCAAAGCUGUUUUGUUUACUUUGUGAAAUCCAACUAAAAAUUAAAACUAUUAUUGUACCUCACGCAUAUUGCAACUUAGCUAGUGAGAAUCACUUACUCUUGUUGAAGCCAAGGAAGAAAUAAUAUGACUCUGAUCUCAACCUUCUUAAAUUGUUUUCUUCUCUCUAACCUUGAUCUGGUCCAUCAUGUUAGAUGGGCUUGGCUUGAUGGAAUUAUUUCAUUUCGUGCUAGUUAGGUUGACCAUGUUGUUGUUAAAUAGUGAUUUAAAUUAUAUUUUGUAAUUUUGUAGUUUUGGUUUUAGGAGUCUUCAUAAACGCAUUGUGACAAUAAUUGUGAUCACAUCAGUUACAAAUUUAUGCAAUUGCGAUAAAUUGCUAACCGUAAAAUCAUUUAUUAAAUUGUUGAAUCGGUUGUCACAAAUAAGUAUAAAGAGUUACCGUAUCCACAACGACUUGAGCGAUAUUAAGUCGUUUAACUCAAACUGAUAUUGUAAGUAUAGAAAUUUUUUAGACAAAGCUUUCACUAUCAAACUAACGUUAAACAAUUGAGAAACUUGUGAGAUGAAAGUUUUGGGAUUAUAUUUUACUAUUCAACUAUGCAUGUACAAUUGAUUCAACAACACAGACUAAUCGAACUAUGAUUCUUUCACCAACAAAGUUUAGUCCCCAAUGACUAGAUUAAUAACUCAAAAUUACUAAUCACUAAUUUCUUAAAUGACUAAAGCUAAUCAAUAUAGCUCUAUUUUCCUAACAAUUAUACUCAAAAAAUGAAGAUUAAUGAUUUAUCAAAAUAGCUCUAUUCCUAGCAAUCACAAAAUUGAGAAUUAUGAGUUAUCAAUGUAGCUCUAUUCCUAGCAACUAUAUUUACAACAUGAAUAAUGUGACUUGUUAAUAUAAAUCUAUUCCUAGCAGAUAUACCAUGAACUAUUUUAUUUCAAGUUAUAGAGCAUGAAUUCCUUCACACAUUCAUAACCUAAAUAACAUACUAACAGAAUGUCAAUCUCAAGCAAGCAUUAAGCAUAAAAACAACUCAUAAGAAUCAAAAGUGUGAAAAUUAAACAUAAAUAUAAAUCAAAGUGUAUAUGUCAAGUAAAUAUUACAUCUAAUACCAACAAGGAAAAACAUUAGUUAAUGGUUCCUAGAUAAAAGGGUUGAAUAAGAUGAAUGAUGCUCUUGAGAGAAGAAUUGGGCUCCUCCAAGAUCAUAAAUUGAUCUGAGAUCAUAAACUGAAUGAAAAAGUAAUACCCCUAGUGUAGGGGUGACAAUUUGAUGGAUUUGGAUGGAUGUGAAUUAUAAUGGAUGAAUGGAAAGUCAUCCAACAAUUCAUAUAAAUCCAUAAAAUCACAUUUCUAAACUAUCAAAUCCAUCCAUAUUUAAUGGAUUUCAAUCCACCCAUUUUAUCCAUAUAUCCAUUUUAAUGGAUUAGAUGGAUGAAUAUCCAACCCAUUUCUUUAAAUUUGAACUAAAACAUUUUUUGAAGGACAAAAAUCCUUUUAAAAUUUAUUAUUUAAUAAAUCAUUUUUGAAAAUCAAUUUAAAAACAUUUUUAAAAUGUGUUUUUUAAAAAACACUUUGAAAAAAAUAUCAGUAUUUAAAUUUACUUGUGAAAGCUCUGAAAGACAACACUGUAAGUGAGAUCAAAGAUACUGUAUUGUGCAAUCAAACAUUUUUUCUUGUGCUCAAUCAUGACACAAAAUGUUAUAUUAAUCCUUAUUGAAACUUUUUGAAAGAAUAUUUUGAUAACAAAGAAUAAUAUCAUUGAAGGAAUCCUUUUGUUAGGAAUAGAGUAGUUUAUAUCACUCGUAUCAAAAUCAGUUCAUGUCGGCCGGUUCAACCGGUACACUGGUGAAUCAGUCUUAAUACCGCUACGAUACAACAUUUAUAAUGGUCAUGGAAUUAUACUGGUAAAAAUCAGUCAUUCAUUUCAAUUGAACCGUACCGGCCAUACCGGCUGGUUUCAUUUAAAAUUAUUUAUGAAAUGAAAAUGAUUUACUUUUACCAAAAUAUUUGUACGGAUGAUCAACCACACAACUACUAUAUUUUUUAUACAUCUAAAACAUGGUCUACAAUAUAUAUUUUUUAACAAGUGGUAUAAAUAAAAAUAGAAAUUGAUUUUUCAACAUUAAUAUUAGUAAUUGAGCGAGAAAUGUUGAGUUCAUUGUCUUCAUAUCACUCAACGAGAGUCUUCAAUUUUGUGCUUGUUGAGCGAGACCCUUGUUUUUUUGCUGAGAAUGUUGACUUCUUCACCUUUUCCCCAUGGAAUGAAAUGCAAAUGCACUUUUAAGGAUAAAAUUUGAUAAAUUUCACAAUAUAUGAUUUUAAACAUCAUAAAAGUGUCUAAAAUCAAUGUUAUAUAGGUAAAAUUGGCACACAUCGUAAAUGUAAUAUGACCAUAAUUUAAAACACUAUUGUCAGUACCAACCAUACAACACUCCAUAGCUUUUGCAUUUUUUGUUGUUGACUAGCCCAAUAUGCAAAAAGAAGUGAUUUUUGCAUAUACAGAAAAAACACUCAAAACCCAUCCAAUUGUAAUAUAAUUACAACCACAACAAGUUUUGGAUAUGAGACAUCACCUUUUGGCUAUAUGAUUGAAGAUACUAGUUUAGAUGUAUGGUACUCAGUUCUAUAUGAUUUAUCAUUUUUCCGUUAUUAUUAUAAGAUUUCUUUUAUAAAGAAAUUAUACAUGGUACGAGAUAGACCAAACCCGAUAAGUAUAUAUGCAAAAUAAAAAAAAACAUAUAACUAUGUUUAAAAGAAUACCACAAUUCCAUGACAAUAAUUAAUGUGGAACUUAACUCAGUUAUACUUUCCUAACUUGAUAUGUGUACUUUAUAACGAUGGAUAUAGUUAAAUGUGAGUCUGAAACAGAAAUUUUGGUACAUGUUUGAUUAAGUAAUUAUUUCAUAAGUGUGAGAAUGAGAAUCAAAGAGUCCAAUUCAAUUAUGUUGUAAAAACUUAGAUUUUAAUGACAUAAUUUAUUUAAAGAUGACGAAUACUAUCAUCAUAUAAUAAAAAUCUUUCAUGUCAAAUCAUCAAAAAGAAAUAUAGAGCAAAAAUAUACCAUAAUCUAUUCAUAGAGAAUAUGUUGAAUGAACUUAUACAUCUUUUAUCUUGUAUCUAAUUUCAUAUGCAGGGUACAACAUGUAAAAAAUUUAGGGACUUUUUGCGAGUAUCAUUUUGAAAGGGAAUAAAUGGUAAUGAAGGACUUCAUAAUCCUUUCACAAGUGUAUUUCAUGGCUCUCAAAUCUUUCAUUUCCCUUUUCCCCUCCAAAACUCAACCCAUAAACGAACCCUUAGUAUUCCAAGUUAUUAUACACAAAUAUCCUUAAUGAUUAGAAUGACUCUUAUUUCUAAUAAAUAGAUUUUAGAAUAGGAAAUGAAUUGAUGGAUCAGUUCAUUUGACUUGGGGACUAUAACCCUUAUUUAUAAGAAUUGCAUGAUCUUUUAUAAGGGGGUGACCCUUUAGAUUCACAUUAUUUCAUGAAGAGUAAUCUCCUUUGAAUUGAAACUGCUUCAUGAAAAGUAAUGCUCCUUAAUUUUCUUAUUUAUAAUUUCAAAUCACUCUAAUUUGGCUAUUUAAAACAAUGGUUGGAAAAUUUAGAGCCAAUUUCUCUCCUUCGUGUGAUGUAAAAUGGGGACUUACGGAAACGACAAGUGAAUAAAUAAAAUAGAUAAGUUGAAGAAUGACACUAAGAAUUUUUAACAUGGAAAAACCUCCUCAAAUUGAAAAGUAAACAACCACGAGACCUAGUCAAGAAAAGUCUCCAGUAUAUAAAGUAUGAUUACACUAUAUGAUCAUCUUUAUGUAUAAGAACAUAACAUUCAAUCUCACCCAAGAAUAGUGGAAUAUAAAUUAUAAAAAUAUCCAUCAAGGAAAAAGUCCAAAAUCUAUUUAACCUUUUAAUUAACUUUUGUCACAAGUGCUUCAGCUAUUUGAUAUGUUGGCACCAUUAAACUUUGAUUUUAUAUGCCUAUCAAAAAUUAGUUAAAGCAAAUAUGCCGCAUAUAUAAAACCCUUCUAACAUAUUUUAAAAAGAACAAUGUUAAUUAUACCAUUAAAUUCUACAUAAAAAGAAGCACUCACCAUUAAAAAGGGUUUCAAAAUUUCUUGAUUUAUAUUGUUUUUCUUUUCCUUAAUUACCCAAAAAUAGGGGUCCAUCCAUCUAUGUGUUGAAUUGAGCUCUAAAAAAAUUAUUAUUGUUUUAAAAAGCAAAGGGUCAUAGUACAUGUUUAGACAAAGUUAAAUAUAAAAUUUACAUUGCUUUCCUUCCCUUUUAUCAAUACUAGCGUGUUGACCGGCACUUUUGGUCACCCGCAUUCUUAUUUUUUUGUUAUAGUAUGUAUAAUCUUCAUAUUAUAUUUAGUCCAUGAAUUGAACUAAGCAAACUUGACUAUUUAAUUUAUAGCAUCAUAUGAUAUUAUAAAAAGAAUAAUAUUAUGUUUAGUCCAUUUACUUGGUGAACAAGGACAAUAUGUACUACCCAAGAAAACUUUACUAUUUAUACUUAUAUUAAUUAAGAAAAGAAGAAGAAAUGGGUGCCAUAUAUUCUUCUAAGAAAUAUAUUUAUGAUCCAUCAUAUUUAUAGAGAAUAAUAUAUGUCAUAAAAUAAUAUUUUGUUUAUUAAUAACUAAUAAUUAUUUCUAUCACUUUCAAGAAUUAUAUAUUGAUUUGAUCCAAAUGUAUAUGAUUAGUACUAUUCAAAUAACUUGGAAAGCAAGUAGAACAUGAGACAAUAAAGUUCUUUGAAAAUUCACAUGAUGGAAUCUCUUGUAGCUUUUUAAACCUUGUCCACUAGUAGGAUAUGGACAGUUAAUCCGAGAUGUUAUCUUUAACUCAAAAAUAAGAUAUACUUAAUACUUUCAUAAUUAUUGUUUCACUUGAUAUUUUCAUAAUCACGAAUGUUAUAUAUGAUAACAAUAUUGUUCUACUUGUAAUCAUUCCUUAACAUUCUCAUCCUUUUUUCUUGUAUUGUUGUUAAACCUCAUUAUCUCAUAAGCUUUAAAUAUUCUAUUAAGUCUAAAUCACUAACUAGAUCUUAAUUUAGUGAUGUAAGGUUUCACUGGAUCCUCAUAUAUUGUACUUGACCAAAAAGAUAAAUGUUUGAUUUAUUAGAGCAAUAUUCUUUGAAAGGAACAAUCACACACUCUAAAAAAGAUUAGUUAUUUAUUCGUAGGAUGAUUUGAUACUCUAAAUUAUAAAAAAAAACUCUAAAUCAUAUUCCAAGGUGACAAAAUCUACAUAUUCUCUUAAAACUUGUAUGAAUAUGGGUGUAAUGAAGGAAUAAUUUCAAUAAUGCAUUCCCCUUGUAGUUUUUAACCAUUACUUACUUUUUAACCUUGUUGCAAGGUUACUCAUAAUCCUAUGGUACUUUUGGUAUAUGCUUUAUGAUAAUCAGAAGAUAGAUUGUACUGUAACUUAUAUGAGUUAAAUCGGAAGACAAGACAAAUUACCCUACAUGUUUAUUUUCUAUUUAUAAUUUCAUAAACACUCUAACACAAGACUUUACUAUAACGGCCAAAUUACUGGUCACCGAGAAAGAAUGUAUAUAUCAGAAUAAUUAGGCGGAUAUGACAUGAAAAAUAUAUUCAACCAUCAUAAAAUAUCAAUUUAAUAUGUCAUUUUUACACACAUACAUUUUAAACGAAUAAAAUGAGCAGCCCACAUGCAUUACUGAAAAUUACCAAUUUUUAUGAUAAUUGACUUUUGUUCUUAUUAAAUCUAUUUUUGUAUUUGACAUUUAGUCCAAUAGUUUAUAUUUACGAACUUCAUAUUUUUUGUAUUUGUCUGUGAUUACAACAGUUAUCAAACCACAUACAUGAGGACGUGGAUAGUUUAGCUUUAUCAAAUGUGUUGUUUAGAAGCAUCUGUUGUACAUUUUAUAUGGCAUUUUUUUUACUUUUGUGGUUUUAGACUUUGAGAUGGUCACUUUAUGUUUGUAGUUUUUUUAAUAUAGUAUGGUCCACAAUCAUGCUAUGCUCAUGUUUAGAGCAGACUUAAUAUAAAUAUUUCAUGUUUAAUUUUAAAAUAGAUAUACUCAUAUUCGUCAUGACUAAAGUGGGAUUACCUAGGUACGGAGAAAAAGAAUAUGAUAACCUUAAUUAACAAUACUAAUAGUAAUAUGUGAUUUCUUUUAUUGCUCCCUUUUUAACCAUAUAUAUAAUGGGACCAUCAUCCCAGUUUUAAGACUAUUAGCUUUCAUUUGGUUGAGGAAGAUAGGAGAAAGAGAAGGAGAAGAGAAAGUUCUUCUUUCUCUCCUUUAGUUGAGGAGAGAAUAUAAGAGGAGAGAGUAAAAGAGAAAGUGGGACCCACCAAAAUUUGUUCUUUUCUGAUAUGAAGAUAAAAUGAGGGAGGAAGAGUGAAAGAGUAAAAUCACUCAUUUCUCUUCUUUUUCUAUACAACCAAACAACACAAGAUUUCUCUCCUUUUCUCAUAUUUUUCUCUCUUUUCAAGUUCUUUAUCUAAUAUUUCUAUCUUCUUACUUUCUUCCAUCCAACCAAAUGAAGCAUUAAAUUCAGUCUUAACAAAAUUAGAGAAAGUCUUAAUGGCAAUGUCAGCGUGAGUAUGAUUGAGUACUUUAUUUUUAAGGCGGUGACAAUUAAAUAAUGAGUAAUGCUAUAAUAUCUUACUAAUUUUCUUACCUAUAAAAAAACAAUAUAUGUCAUUUGUAUAUUAAUCAUUAAUAAAUAAAAUAUCAACUUGUCAUAUGUGUCACUUUUUUAUGGAUCAGAAGAUUUAGUAGAAGAUAUAUCAUUUUCCUUAAAUGAUCACUAUUCUCGUAAGAUAUCACUUAAUUUAUAUUAAAUUUUUAUAUAUGUUAUAGUUUAUAAAUAUAUAGGUUAUAUUAUAUAGAACACUUAGAUAUAUUACCAUAUUAUAUGUUUUUAUAUAUAUUUUAAUUUGACGAUGGCAAUGGUACUGAUAUAACACUUCGAAAAUAAAAAAACAACGUUAUACAUAUUAAUUAAAUGUAUAAAUUUUUUCUUGAUAAGUAUAUGUUUUGGAACAUAUACAUAUCCAUUAUAUCCUUCUCAAAAACAAAAAAACUUCAUGAGAUGAGAUAGAGAGAGGAAAAAGGAUUCCGUUAUGCAGGAAAGGAUUUGGAGACGAAAAGGUGGAACUAGAGAGGAGGAUUAGGGAAAGUUCAACUAUUCUCAUAGAGGGAAAGCUCCACUUGGCAAAACAAAUGGGUAUUUCAAUUAUAUGCAAAAGAACAUUAUUACUUUCUUCUUCACCAAUAUACCAGACAUUCAUGGUAUUAAUGAAAUGUGGGGUUUUUUCUCUCUCAAAAUGGGGGAAUGUAGGAGAGGUUGUUAUUCCAUUGAAGAUGGAUAGGAGGGGUAACCGUUUUUGCUUUGUCAGAUUCAAGCAUCAAGAUAGGAUUGAGGAUAUGGAGAAAGCUUUGUCUAAUUUGUGGAUAUGAAAUUUUAAAAUUACUAUCAACAUGCCUAAGUUCAGCAGAGAAGGAAAUUCGUUAGCUAACAUGAUUUCUACAAAGAACCCCUAUCCUAAUCAGAUUGUGAGGCAUCAUCAGUAGAAUCAUGUGUUACCUAUGGCUGUCCAAAAGGGUUCUUCUUGGAAGGACAUUCUUCUCACCAUUAGGGGGGCUGGGACUUCAACGGUUAGUCCCAAAUUGACAGAGCUGAAAUUCAAUGUCUCUGAAGAACAUAUGCAAUGUUGCUACGAAAUAUUUGUGGGAGUGCUUAGAAAUUGUGAGGAUGGCCAAGAUGUUAAUAAUUUAUUGGCAUAUCGUGGUGUUUUAUCCAUUAAAGCUAUUCCUAUGGGAAGUAAGUUGGUAUUUCUUAAAGGAGCAAAUGGCUUAUACAUCCAACACUAUAUCAAUAAGGAGGAAGCUUGGUGCACAAAUCUUUUUAAAGAAAUAAGAAGAUGGUCACCUAGUGAGUUAGCCAAAGAUAGGGUGGUAUGGGUGAGAUGCUUUGGAAUUCCCAUGCAUGUAUGGUCUGAGGAGUUUUUCAAGUUGAUUGUUGAUGUUGUUGGUCAAUUUAUCAAGGUGAGUGAAGGAACUAAGCAUAUGGUUAGGCUGGAUGCAGGCUUUGUGUUGCUGGCCACAGAUUCUCAUAUCAAAAUUGAUUUGGCCCAAAAUGUGAAGAUGAGAGAGACCAUGUGGGAGAUUAGAUUGACUGAAAUUGACGGUGUCUUCGAAGAAUCAUUUGUGAAGAACAAAAGCACGUCUAAGGAGGAAGAUAGUGUUACCGACUCGGUGGAAUCGGAGGAUGGAGAGACUUGGUCGGGGGUGAACUCGAGGUGGGGAGGAGAUGAUGGCUCGGAGGAUGACGACGAUGACGUGGCCGUCCUUUCAACUGGGGCCCACAUUGUUCAAAAGUUGGGCAAUGAGAGAGAUGAUGGUGACAUAUCUUCUCAUCCUCUACAGUCUAACACUAUGAAGGAUGAAGACGCUAGCCAUUUGUUCUAGGGAAUGGAAAGGUUGAAGGUUCACAUAAGGAAAAGUGCUUUGGUGGGUGUUGUGCUGAAUGAAAGAAAUGACCUUGGAUAGAGGAAUGGAGGCUCACAAUCACUACAUUUGGUAGAAGCUUUUUCUAGGGGUGAAGUGGAAGACACGAUUUUGGUAUUGGAGGAGGCUAAGGAGGGAGAGGGUCUUUUAAGUGGUGUUGGGUCUAGGGCUCCGUGUUGUACUCGAUCUAGACCAACUUCUGUUUUUGAGUAGCUGACUUUGCAGUGCAAAAAAUCCCAUCUGGGCCUUGUGGGAGAAGCCUAUACAGACACUUUAAGUGGCCAAGAAAGAGAGUUGGUUUCUCCCAAUAAAAAAGGCAAAAUAAUUCUUUGUAUUGGCAUUAGUAAUCAUGCCAACAUGGAUUCUUUUUUCUGGAUCAUUCUUUGGACAACCCCAUUGAUGUUUUGAAAAGUAAAAAGGAUGGCUUGGUAAAGGGAUUUUAUUCUAAUUUGGCUAAGGAGAAAAACAUGGCUCAUAUGUCUAGUGAGGUUCAAGGCAAAGAUGUGGAAGUUUUAAAAUCUUCCAAUUAUCUUAAAGGUAGGAAGAAAAAAAAACAACCUCUUUUUUUUUUAAUCAUUCUAUUUGUAUGCUGAAUAAAGGAGGCUUAGGGUCAAAGUAAUUUUCGAAGAAGGUUGGAAGACCUAAGAAGAAGAUAGCUAAAAAAAUUGUUGAUGACAGUGUAGCCAAUCUAGAUGGAGAUCUUAAUAUUAGCAAAAAUCUGAGUUGUUCUAAGGUGACUGUUGAGGAGGGGGAGUUGGACCCAACUAGUAGUAAUUCCAUUGGUGACUCACAUGUUCGAAGUGCUAAUCUCCUUCACUUCAUAGAAGAGGAUUUGGUGGUGGAAAAAAUAUAGGAAAUAGGGAAAAGGGUAGGGGUGUCAUUCAGUAGUGAUGAAACAAUGAUGUUGGAAAGAAUUAAAGAGAUGGAGGAAGGGAUAAGGUUGGUUUUUCAAUUACCAACCGAAUGGAGCAAAAGGGUGAUCCAUGAACUAUGCAUCUAUGAAUGUUAGGGGGUUGGAGACUAGGCUUAAGAGAAUAUUCUUAAGAAGCCUAGUAGAGAAAAAUGAUAUCCAUUUUUUGGGUAUUCAAGAAACAAAAUGGGAGAAUUGCGAAACAGACUAUUGUUAUGAGCUUUGGGGUAAUUCAGGUUGUGAGUGGGAUUUUAUCCCAUCUAUUGGAUGUCCUGGAGGAAUUUUGAGAUUUUGGGAUAAAGCUAAAUUCUCAAGAUAGAGUUCUUACAAAGGAAACAAUUUUCUUGUAGUUGAAGGUGUAUGAUUCAGUUAGCUGGGAAUUCCUUGAUUAUAUGCUUGGCCGAUUCGGUUUUUCUAAUAGAUGGAGGAUGUGGAUUAAUGCUUGUUUGGUUUCAACAUCCGUGUCUGUGCUAAUUAAUGGCCCUCCUUCUGAUCAAUUUUCUGUGCCUAAGGGUAUCAGACAUGGUGAUCCUAUGGCGCCUGUUCUCUUUAUUUUGGUGGCAGAAGGUUUUGCUGGUUUGGUUAGAAAAGCUAGAUCUAUCGAUUUAUUUGAAGGGUACAAAGUGGGGAGAUUCGAGGUGGAGACUACUGACCUUCAGUUUGCAGAUGAUACUAUUCUGGUUUUCACCCCGGAAGAGAGCAACAUUUAGUGUGUUAAGAGUAUUCUGAGAUGUUUUGAGAUGGUUUAUGGAUUGAAGGUUAAUUUUAACAAAAGCUCCUUGAUUGGUAUUAGAGUUCCUAAUGGUCUUCUUUCAACAACAUCUACUUUCUUAUUUUGUAAAAUUGGUUCUAUCCCCUUCCUUUACCUUGGAAUUCUGGUAGGAGCUAAUCCAAGUAGAUAAUCGACAUGGCAAAAUGUUAUUGAGAAGGUGUCUUCUAGAUUGGCAGGUUGGAAAAGCAAACAUAUUUUCUUUUGUGGUAGAGUGGUACUAACUAAUUAGAUGCUCACGAAUAUGCCCAUUUACAUGUUAUCGUUGUUUAAGGCCCCAAAGAAGGUUACCCGAAAGCUGUUUUCUCUUUAGAGAAAUUUUCUGUGGAGUAACAAGAGUGGUGUUAGAGGUAUUCCUUGGAUUGCUUGGUCUGAAGUUUGUAAGCCCAAAACUCUCGGCGGUUUGGGGAUUAAGGAUAUUUUCAGGUUUAAUGAUGCUCUUCUGGAAAAGUGGAGGUGGAGAAGACUGACGGAUCCUGAUGCUUUGUGGGUUAGAGUGAUCGAUUCUAAGUAUGGAAAUCUUGGGGCUUUUAAUAGUAGCCCAACGGCGUCAAGAUGGUGGAGGGAUUUGGUUAAAAUUGGAUCGCUCUUGGGUGAUGGGUCUAACUGGUUGGAGGCCAAUCUCUGGAAGGAAAUUGGCGAUGGUCUAAAUACUAGAUUUUGGCAGGAUAUUUGGUUUGGUCAGCAAAACCUUAGUGAUUCAUUUCCGAGAUUGUUCUUGCUUGCUUUGGAGAAGGAUGCCAUGGUCGCAAAUUGUGGGGCUCAGACAAAUAGGGUGUGGUCUUGGAACAUUUAGUGGAUAAGACGUUUAUUUGACUGGGCGGAGGAUCUUGUAAGGAUCUUGUAAUAUCACUUUGCAAUCCAAUAAAUCUAUUGUAUACUAAGUAAUAUUGCUCUAUAGGUUUUGAAAACUUUGAAACAAUUACUUCAAGUAACUAAGAAAUACUCUCUUUUGAAAGUUUAAGAACUGAGUGCAAAAGUACAGAAAAAUAGUAAGAGAAUUUUUCAGAAUCGUGUGAGAGUUGUAUGAAAGUUGUGUAUGUGAUUAUGAGUUUCAAUGCCUUUAUAUAUGCUUUCCAACCGGCCAAAAUGCCUCUUUGAAAGGGUAGGAAUUGAUUGGAAUGAAACCAUGUCUUUUGGGUCGAAACUCAUUCACUUUGAAUUUGAAAAUCUGAUGCAACAACACUCAGUAACAGGUUACAACAUUGAGUAAUCGGUUACCCAACUGUUCUGUCCAACAGUGAAUUUAAAAUUCACUUUGAGUAAUCGGUUACUCAAGAACUUUGAAACUAGAGUAAUCUAUUACUCGAAGUUCAGUAAUGGAUUACUCAGAUCAAUUUUGUUGGGUAACUGGUUUAUCACUCAUGUAACCUUUUACUCAGAUUUCAGUAACUUGUUACACAUUAUUUUGAAAAUUGUUUUAUUUAAACUUUAAGUGUUUCAAUUUUUUUUCCAAUUAUUUUGAGCAAUACUACUAUUAUAUAUUCAAGAGUAUAUGAUAGAAGUAUCUAUUUAGACUUAGACUAAAUAUUUUGAAUAUCUUGAAGCUUAAAUCUUCAUUAUCUUCAUAAGUAUUCUUCAUUUUCUUCUUUUUGGUGAUGUUGAUGUCUUCAUUGAAAUCAUGUCAAGGUCAGGAGCAGAGAUCUUUACAAUAUUUGUCACCUAUAAAACAUGGUUAGGGCUUUGGAUGAGAAGUUAAUGAAAUGACAAUUUCUGGACAUGUGAGUUGGAAGAUAAAAAUCACACUAUUAUGAUGUUUGUUAUGGGAUUUAUAAUAAAAGGAAUAGGAUAAGAUAGUUGUUUAUGUAGAUUUAAUUAAUUAAAUAGUCAAUAUUACAUUAAUAUUUCUAGAAUGUUCUAAUGUUGUAAGAUGAUGAUACUUGUAGGGUCAUCACCAGAUCUUCAUUCUCUUUAAAUAUGUUAUUGUUCAUCCAUAAUCAAUCAAUGAAAUAUGAUCAUUUUCUUCUAGUAUUAUUUUUUUCUUAGGAGUAGAGUAAUUAAUAGAUAAAUUCCUUGAUAGGAGGAAUUUGUUCCCUAUCACACACCUAAAAAUGUUGCGGGACCAAAAUUGCACUCUUAGCCUUAAAUAAAUUGUGUUUGAGACCAUAUUAGUCGACAUAAACCUAUGCAUUCUCAUCAUAUUUAAUUUCUAAAUCAAACCACGUUAAUUUUAAUAAAAUUAAACCAAAUCAUUACACAUUAAAGCAAAUCAUAUGCAAGUGUGAAAUCAGAUUAAUGCAAAUUUACAAAUGCACUCCAUGCCUUUCUACCUGCAUUAAUAUUGCUUCUAUAUUUCUGUAACCUAUUUAAAGAAGAAUGUAUGUAACAAACUCAGAAAACAACAUAUUUUAAGAAAAUGGGUGUGAUAAUUUUGAUUGUAGGGUGUGUGGUCGGUUUGAUAAUCUUUUAUGUGAUUGUUUAUCUAGCUCUACGAGGGGGAUGAGGAUGAGGAAGAGGAUAGGAUGAGGAUGAGGAUGAGGGUGAGGACGAAGAUGAGGCUUAGUCUGACUCGUAUUUUAGGUAUUUCUUUUAUCACUUUGUCCUUAUGGGUGUUUUUAGUUUGAUGUAAUAUUUUUGGUAUUUUUUGCACAACAAUUUGAGCCUAUUUUGCAUUGAUUUGAAGCAUUAGACAAAUGUUUUAAAUUGUGGUCCACAUGAUAUGGUUGCAAUAUUAUUGUUGUGGUGACUGCCGUAAUUAUAUUAUAUGCAAUUACAUUGUGAUACCAGAUCACAAUGAUGCGAUUAUAAUGGACAACAUCACACUACAUUUGAGCCACAUCAGAUUGCAAUACAAUUACAUCGAACUGUAUCAAAUCAUAUUGAUACCAAAAAUAUUAAUUUAUUCACAAAAUAAUUUGCACUGCAAAAGCUGCAAUCCGUAUCAUAAUGACCUCAAUAGUUAUAAUCACAGUGAUUGUAAUCACAACCGCAACUACAAUUAAAAACAAAGAAAUAAACUCUUCAAAUGCAAGUGACAUAGAAUGCCAAAUAGGGAAAGAAGAAAUGAAAACCCAAAUGACCAAGGUAUNNNNNNNNNNNNNNNNNNNNNNNNNNNNNNNNNNNNNNNNNNNNNNNNNNNNNNNNNNNNNNNNNNNNNNNNNNNNNNNNNNNNNNNNNNNNNNNNNNNNUUACAAUAGGCUAGUUAAUUAUAUAGUUCGAACGAACGUAAGAAUAUUCUAUAAUAAAAAAGAACUAUUCUAUUAUCUAUAUCUAUAAUUCUAUACUAUUUAUAAAGCCAAAAUAUGGUGUAAAUUCCACCAUGGUGUAAUUUUCAUUUCCUAUUUUGCCCUUUAUAUUAUUUAAUUUUUACAAAAAACCAUAUAAUCCUAAUUAACCACCACCAACACAUUAAUUAACCACAUUUCUCACCUUAAACUAAAUAUUAUCAUAAACACAUAAAAAUUAUAAUAUAAAGUACACUGAAUACAAAAAAUAAAGUCUAAUUAGAAAAAAUAAAAUAUAUAAAAAUUAAAUACGUAGUAUCAUACAAUAUUGACUGGCUAGCACGAAGUGCCUGUACAUAUUAGUAUAUAUAAUUGAUUAACUUUACGAUAAAGAAGGUAAGAACUGUUGUUAUUGUGAGAAAUCAAAAUAAUUAAUAUAAAUUAUUGUAUCUUAUUUGAAGGGUAAAGAUUAAAAGAAAUGGUCAUAUAACUAAUAACGAGUUUUUAAUCUUAAUCACCCAUAUUAUACUCUUAGUGAUUAACUAGUUAAUUUCCUUGAUAUUCUAAUUAUCUAACUUCUAGAAAAUUCCAUAACAGAAUGAUAGAAAAAAAAAGGUUGAAGAUGAGAAUAUAGUAUCACUUUAUAUAUUAUGUUAAGUAUAUAUACACACCGAAAAAAAAGUAUACAUAUACACGGCCGCAAAGUAUAGAGUUAGUUUAGAAGUUUGAUUUUGGAGAGGAAGGAAGAGAAAAAGAAGACUUGGGAGCCAUGAAAUACACUUGUGAGAAGAUAUAUAAAGAAUGUUUUGACUUUGUUAUUUUAUAAAAUUAUAGAAGAAAUGAGAGCACAUCUCCUCUCACACAAAGUAAGUCACUCUAUGUAUCAUAAAUUAUGAUUGACCAGAAAAUAUUGAAUAGUUGAAAUUUUAACAGAUACAUUUUUCAACUUAUCACAAUUAAUGAUACAUGUGGUGACACAAUUUAUGAGACAAUGUCUGAUUACUGGGAUAUAUGUAAUUAUAUGUUAUCUACUAAACAAAAUUCUCAUAGUGAUGAUGGAAUUCAAACUAACAAUUUUAUUGACCAACUUUCAUUAUGUAAAAUAUGGGGAAUAUUGAAGACAUUGGUUAACAAGGAGAGAAAGAAAAGAAAUGGCGAAAUUUAUGAGAAAUGUUAUAAUCUCAUAAUUAAAGGGAUUGUGCUCAACUACUAUGUUUCUUUAUCAUGUUUGUAGAUUUUAGGGAUAUUAAUUAUAGGAAAUUCUUAUUCUUUGUUUCUUUAUCAUGUUUGUAGAAUUUAGGGAUAUUAACUAUAGGAAAUUCCUAUUCUUUAUUUCCUUUUAUAUUUAUCAACUCCUGCUUAUAUAUUGUACCUUUAACUCAUGAAUAAAAUUAAGAGAUGAAAUAAUAUCUCCAUACUCAACUCAUAUGGUAUAACAAGCCAAUUCUUCCCCUUUAGGUGAAAGCUCCUCAAUACUUCCUUAUGGAUGACACUGACACCUCUAUUACCCCUAGAAAUACUGAUAACCUAAAAAAAGCCAUCCUUCAUUGUUCCACCCCACAUCAAUGAUCUUGACCGUUCCAUCAAAAUAAUCAAACAUAAUUAAAUUGGUUAAAUUUAAGGGAUUAGUUUUAGUCACUCAUGUGAAGAAGAUCUUUGCUCCCAACCCUGGCACAGUUUUGAUGAAGACACAAACAUCACCAAAAAGAAGAAAAUGAAUAAUACUUAUGAAGGCAAAGAAGAUUAAAGUUUUAAGGUGAUUAGAUUAAGUCUCUAUAGGUACUUCUAUCCUAAAACUCUUAAAUAUACAAAGUAGUAAUGCUCAAACUAUUUUUAAAGAAAGUUGAAACACUUUAAAAUACUUAAAACAAUUUUCAAAAAUAGUGUGUAACGAGCUACUUCAUCUAAGUAACCGGUUACUUGUGUGAGAAAAUAGUUAUCCAACUUAAAACUAUUGUUACUUCAUCUAAGUAACAGGUUACGUGUGUGAGAAAAGAGUUAUCCAACUUAAAUCUGUUCAGAGUAAUCCAUUAUUGUCUUUGAGUAACAGAUUACCAUUUUUGAAAAGUUGAGUAACCGAUUACCCAGAUUGCUGUAAUCGAUUACUCUAAUUCGAUUUUAAAUGAACAGUGGACAGAGAGUUUAGGUAAUCGAUUACCCACUGUCAGUAAUCGAUUACUGAGAGAUGUUGCAUCAGAUUUCAGAUUUCAAAAUGAAAUGUUCUCACUCCAAACGAAAUUCUUCACUUCAAACAACUCCUACACUUUCAGAAAGGCACCAUGGGUGUUUGGAAAGUCUAUAUAAAGGCUCUAACUCUCACAACACAAACAAUACAAUAACACACAACUCUUAUACAAUUUCUCUACACUUUUUGCAAUUAGUCCUUAACUUUCAAAGAUGUUUUUCUGAAGUUGCUUAGAAGUGUUUCAAAGUUUUCCAAAAAGCAUUAUUACUUGGUAUACAUAAAGAGUUGAUUGGAUUGCAAGUUAUACUACUUUCAUACUUGUAAAGGCAAUCUGUCAUUGUUGUACAUUCUUCAAUAUUGUUGCAGAAUACUUUCUUUCACGAGGUGUGAAAAGAAAGGGGAUUAGAAUCACUUGGAAAGGUGUUUUCCAUGAGUGAAUAAGGAUUAGGGAGUGUGUAUGGUACAUAGAAAUAUCGGGGUGAGAUAUUGUAAUUACAACUCAUAAUUCUUAGUGAGAAGAAAUCUCUUGUGCUGCAAGAGUACUGGACGUAGCCUUCGGUGGACUAGAAGGUGAACCAGUAUAAGAAUCGUUGUAUAUUCUCUUCUCCCUUAUCUCUUUCAUUUUAUCUUGAUUAUUUUUCUGCAUAUAUUUUCCACUGGACGUUAACUCUUGAUUUUGCAGAAAAAGUGGUCAAAAUUUUUAAGUCAACUAAUUACCCCCUCUUAGUUGCAACCUCGUUCUUACAAUUGACACCAGAGCUAUAUUUGAGUAAGAUAUUCUCAAGUCUGAUCCUUUAUCAAGAUGGCCUCAAGAUCAUUCAUAGGAGAAUGUUCCAACAUCAACCGACCUCCAAGCUUUGUUGGAGAGUGCUAUGAUUUCUGGAAAAUUAGAAUGAGGAUCUUUAUUCUCAAGACUUGGACAAAUGGAAUGCCAUUGAAGAAUGACCAUAUAUACCCUUUACUGUUAUCAACAGUAUAAGGGAAAUAAAGCCAAAAUCUUAAUGGAAUGAUGAAGACAAAAAGAAGGUGCAAUAUGAUUUAAUGGCAAAGAACAUCCUCACCUCCGCAUUUGGUAUUGAUGAAUUCUUUAGAAUAUCAAAUUGUAAGUCUGCAAAAGAAAUGUGGGAUACUCUAGAGACCACACACGAAGGAACAGAGGAAGUAAAAAGUUCGAGACUCAACACUCUUUCCUAGGAAUACGAAAUGUUUCGUAUGAAGCCUGGAGAGAAAAUUCUUGAUUUACAAAAGAGGUUUACUCACCUUACCAAUCACCUUAUUGCACUUGGCAAAGUUCUAUCAAAUAGUGACUUAAACUUGAAAUUUCUUAGAUCACUCACCAGAACAUGGCAACCAAAGGUAACUACAAUUUCUGAAAAGAAAAGUUUAUCCAAAAUGUCUUUGGCUGCUUUGUUUGGAAAACUGCAGGAACAUGAACAAGAACUUAGCCAACUUGACCAAUAUGAGGAGCAAGAAAAGAAGAUGAAGAAUAUUUCUCUAAAAGCAAAAGUGGAUAGAUAUGACUCAUCUAGAGAUGAAUCAAAAAAAGAUGAUACGGAAGAUAUGAGUCUCUUCGUGAAGAACAAUGACGCCUCAACCUCAAAUCAAAAUUUUACAUGUUUUGAAUGUGGCAAACCUGGUCACAUGAAGAUGGACUGUCCAAAUUUCAAAAAGAGUUCUUUCAAAGGAAAAAAUGACAUAAAGACUGGACGAAGAUCAUACAUUACUUGGGAAGACAAUGAUAUCGGUUCUGCAUCUGAAACAGAAAAUGAAGAGCAAACACAUCUAUCACUUAUGGCAUCUCAUCAUUCUUAUGAUGAAGAGGUAAACAACUCUAAUCUAUUUUCUUCUUAUUCUGAUGAUGAAGAGGUAAACGACUCUAAUCUAUUUUCUUCUUCUGAACUUCAAUCUGCAUUUAAUGACUUGCAUGAUGAAUAUGUCAAAUUAAAAAAAAAUGUUUCUAAAACAAAAGUGUGAGUUAGAUACAUUUAGAAACAAACCUUCAUCAUCCUCUUGUUAAAACUGCAUCACUCUUGAAAACAAAGUAUCAACAUUAUGUAUUGAACUUAAUAAGCUAAACAAGCAUGGUAAAAGUUUAGAAAAGAUUAUUAUUAAUGAUCAAAAACACUCAACAUACCACAUAGGUCUUGGCUAUUCAAAAAACCAUGUUUUUAAGAAACCAAGUGUCCAAAAGAGAAUAAUCUUUCAAAAGAAAAGUAUCCAUGCAUUUGAAAAAUCUCGGAUACACAUUCAUCAACCCAUAUGCACAUACUAUAAAAUUCAUGGGCAUACACCGAACACAUGUAUGAUUAGAAAAUAUGGUGUACCCUUAGGAAAAUUUAGAUGGGUGGAGGAAGGUUCUAACCACCUAGGAUCCAAAGAAUAUUGGAUACCUAACAAAACUUAAUUUGUUUUGUAGGAAAAAUUGAGAGCCGCCUGCAAUUUAUGGUACUUGGAUAGCAGCUGCUCAAAACACAUGAAGGGCGAUAAAAGUAAAUUAUUUGUCCUGACUUCAAGGGACAAAGGAUAUGUCACAUAUGGUGAUAACAACAAAGGCAAAAAUUAUUGGAGUUGGUAGAAUUGGAAAGCCACCAUCAACAACUAUAGAAGGUGUACUAUAUGUUGAAGGACUCAAGCACAACCUUCUAAGCAUAAGUCAAUUAUGCGACAAAAGAUUUCAUGUGGCGUUCUACCCAAAUAAGUGCAUCAUUGAAAGUAAGGAUUAUAAUAAUUCUAAACUUAUUGGUAAGAGAAUAAAUAAUAUCUAUAUGAUUGAGAUGGAUUCUGCUUUACCUAUAACAUGUUUAGUAGCUAAUGAUAAUCAUGAUGCAUGGCUUUGGCAUAGAAGAAUUGCUCAUAUUCACAUGGAACAUUUGAAUAAACUCAUUAAGAAAGAUUUAGUUGUUGGUUUACUCAAAAGGAAGUUUGUUAAAAACAAACUAUGUAGUGCUUGUCAAAUGGGUAAACAAACAAAAACCUCUUUCAAACCAAAGCACAUGGUUUCUUCUGAUAGACCAUUACAAUUACUUCAUAUGGAUUUAUUUGGUCCCUCAAGGACAAAACAUUUUGGUGGUAAUUAUUAUGCUCUUGGUAUAGUGGACGAUUUUUCUAGAUAUACUUGGACUCUAUUCUUAGUUCAUAAGAAUGAGGUAUUCAAAGCCUUUAUCAUUUAUGCUAAAAGAGUUCAGAAUGAGAAAUCUCUAAAAAUUGUUGUUAUACAAAGUGAUCACGGGGAAGAAUUUCAAAACUCUUCUUUUGAGGAAUUCUGUGAUGAUCUUGGGAUCAACCACAAUUUGUCUGCUCCUAGAACACCUCAACAAAAUGGUGUUGUAGAGANNNNNNNNNNNNNNNNNNNNNNNNNNNNNNNNNNNNNNNNNNNNNNNNNNNNNNNNNNNNNNNNNNNNNNNNNNNNNNNNNNNNNNNNNNNNNNNNNNNNAUGUGAUAUCUUGUGAUGAAGACGACUUGCCAAGUUCCCUUGCUAAAGAAAAUUCUAUUGUUGAUAUUACAACUGAACCUGAAGAAUUGAGAAUGGAUGAUAAUCUAUCUUCUCGAGAAGAGCAUAUUCACUCAAAUCUACCAAAAGAAUGGAGAACUCAUCGAAAUCAUCCUAUUGACAACAUCAUCAAUGAUAUAAGUAAAGGUAUAGCUACUCAUAGAAUGCUUGAUGCUUAUCUAAACAUGGCCUUCGUCUCUCAAAAUUUAAAAAGGGUUUCAAAAUUUAUUGAUUUUUAUUGUUUGUUUUCCUUAAUUACCCAAAAAUAGGGGUCCAUCCAUCUAUGUAUUGAAUUGAGCUCUAAAAAAAUUAUUAUUGUUUUAAAAGGCAAAGGGUCAUAGUACAUGUUUAGACAAAGUUAAAUAUAAAAUUUACAUUGCUUUCCUUCCCUUAUUAGUAAUAUAAUAUAAUUGCGAUCACAAUGCACUAAAUUCCAAAUACAACAUAUUACAUGAUAUCUUCUUUAUUUGUCAACUUGUGCUACACAUCAAACUUGUUAAUCUAGGCACAACCUGAUCCUGAUUAUUUGUCAUCUUGGUCCUUGCUUUAAGGCUUCAAUCUCUACUAAAUGAAGCAUAGCUUAGUUAGCACUAAUGAAGCAUAGUAGAUGCAAAUUAUUACCCAUUACAAGCGUGCGGGAUUAGAGUUAAUAGGGAAAUAAGAAACCACAAUUGGUGCCCCCUUUGAUUUUGAUUUGCUCUUUGGUUUCUCUAAAGAUUGUGAUUUCAAUUGAGAUCCUUGUGAGUCUAUGACUUGGGAUGAUGAGGAUAAGGAGGGAGCAAAACAAUUGAAGAAGAAUGACAAUAGAGACUUUUGGUAUAUUGACUUUUUCUUCUUCUUCUUUAUAGGGGUUAUUAAUUGUGGUAUGAGUUACUUAAGGAAAAAGAAGAAAUGAUUGUAAUGAAAACAAAGGCAAUAGUGUGUGGUGAACUUAGACUUUGAAGUAGGGAUUAUAUUUGUAAGUGAACAAAACUGAAAUGAUAGAGUUGUAAUGGCGGCUUGUGUUGUUAAUGAAUUGAACUAAGCAAACUUGACUAUUUAAUUUAUAGCAUUAUACGAUAUUAUAAAAAGAAUAAUAUUAUGUUUAGUCCAUUUACUUGGUGAACAAGGACAAUAUGUACUACCCAAGAAAACUUUACUAUUUAUACUUAUAUUAAUUAAGAAAAGAANNNNNNNNNNNNNNNNNNNNNNNNNNNNNNNNNNNNNNNNNNNNNNNNNNNNNNNNNNNNNNNNNNNNNNNNNNNNNNNNNNNNNNNNNNNNNNNNNNNNUGUUUAUUGUUACUUGUUUAUAUUCAAUUCAAUUCAAAACCAUCAAAAUAUGUUUAAACCAUUAUUUGUGCGUUGACAUGUUUACCUGAUUUAUUUUAUUAGGCAAUUCCUUGUGGUUCGACAUAACCGUAUACUAUACUACAAUUGAAUCUUGAAAGAGGUGUAAAUUGUAAAAUAGUAAAGUGUUAUCAAUAAAUUUAUUUGUUGAAAACACCUUUUAAUAUACAAAAGUGAUGAAACUAACUUACUAACUUUUAUUUGUUGUAAUUUACUUUCCGCAUUUUAUUUAUUCUUUAAUACCAACAUUCCUUAAGGAAGAAGUUUGGUUUGUUAAUAAAAUGAACCUGAAAGGGUGUAAAUAAAUAAAGGUCACUAAACUUAUUAUUCUUUUGUUCUUUAUAUAUUUAUUUAUAUCUAACAAAUAAUUACUCAUCACUUUUAUAUAUUAGAAUACCAUUAAACAUGUGUUGAAAUUUAUUCCACAAAACCUAGAUGGUACUCAAAGAUACUUAAUAAUUAUGUAAUAGGUAAUUGCUUCAAUACCAUUAUACUGGCGUUAGAGUUUAUUCCAACAAAGCCGAGAUGGAGCAAAGAAGGAAUGACUUAUUUACCUGAUUAUAGAAGAAGUAAGUUGUAAUUGGAAUAUUCUUGAAACCAUUAUACCGGUGUUGGAAUUUAUUUCAACAAAGCCGAGAUGACGAACAAAGAAUAAAACCGAGUUCUCUUACUUAAUUAAACAAAAUGAACAUAACGAAAAUGAGAGUACUAAACUUUCAAAAAAUUGGCACUGCUGUUAGGACGAUUUGUUGAGAGGAGAAAACUCCCAAUAAAACACCAAGAAACCGGCUUUCAACAAAUUGGCGUCGUUGCCGGGGAAUUGCUUUAAUAAUAAAACAUUUCAUAUUUAUAUGACAUUAAUCAAAUAAUUGUGCAUAAACUUAUUUUUCUUUCGUACAAAUUAUUUAUUUUUGACUUUGUACAAAAAUGUUAAUUAUUAAAUAUAUAUUUUUUAAUUUCUGCAAAGAUGUACAUUAUGAUUUCUUUACAUACUAAUCUCCUUUCUUUUUGGAAAUAGACAAAAUGAUUCAUUUUGAUCUCAAAUUUUCAGAUAUGGACCAACAUGUUGAUCUGCAACAAGAAGUUGAGCAAUUCAUCAGAGAAUUUCAAUCCAAGCUCAAUAUGGUCCAUCAAAAAAUUCAAGAUCUUCCUGAACAAAUAAAGCAAACCAACAGAGCAAGUUCUUGGUGCAAUAUUUGUGCAAACAAUNNNNNNNNNNNNNNNNNNNNNNNNNNNNNNNNNNNNNNNNNNNNNNNNNNNNNNNNNNNNNNNNNNNNNNNNNNNNNNNNNNNNNNNNNNNNNNNNNNNNAAUCAAAAUGUCUAUGCUUUCCAAUCAACUCCCACUUAUCUUGACGAAUUGGAGAAAAUUCUUGACCAAUUCAUACAAACCACUAUCAACCAUCAACAAAACACCAAGGAUGCUCUCAUAAAAAUAGAAGAACAAAUCAAGAGCUUAACAAAAACUUAUCUUGUCAAGUCAGAAUUUUGUGAAAGUGUUACAACUCGAAGUGGAAAGAUAGUUGGUGGAGUUGAAAAACAAAAAGGAAGAUUAGAUGAAAAAAAUAAUAAAGAAGAAAAAGAAAAUAAAAAAUAAGGAAAAGAAAAAGAGACUAGUGAGGUAAGAAAAGAAGAAAAUUCAUACUCACUAGUACAGAAAAAAUACCCUACCCAAUAGCUCCGUUAAAAGCCAAAAGAGAAGAACAGUUCACAAGAUUCAUGGAAAUAUUCAAAACUCUGCAAAUCAACAUCCCUUUUGCUAAGGCCUUGGAGAAAAUGCCAAUUUACUCCAAGUUCAUGAAAGAACUGCUAUCCAAAAAACGGAGUUAUCAAGAAAAAGAAAUUGUUUCACUCAAUGCCACUUGUAGUGCGAUUCUUCAAACAAACAUUCCUCACAAAUCUAAAGAUCCAGGCAAUGUGACCAUUCUAGUUACUAUUGGAAAUGUGUCCGUAGGCAAAGCUCUUGUCGAUCUUGGAGCCAACGUAAGCUUGAUGCCACUGUCCAUGAUGAAAAGAAUUGGAGGAAUUCAAUUAAAGCCUACAAGGAUGUCCUUGCAACUAGCAGAUGGAUCCAUAAAAUAUCCUGAAGGAGUUGCAGAGGAUGUUAUGGUCAAAGUGGACAAAUUCUUGAUUCCGGUUGAUUUUGUUGUCAUUGACAGAAUUGAAGAUACGGAGAUCCCGCUCAGUUUAGGGAGACCCUUUAUGAGGACAACAAAAAUGGGGAUCGACAUGGAAAUGACAAAUUAUUAGUCCAAGUUGCGGACGAUGAAAUCGAAUUUGACAUUUUCCAUACAAUGCAUCAUCCGAAGGAUAAAGGGCAAUGUCUACAACUAGAUGCUAUUGAAGAAAUUUGUGCAGAGCACCCUCAACUUGACAAAUCCUCGGAGAUACAAGAAUAUAGAGUGGAAGAAGAAAUCAUCAGACAUUUUUAUGAUGAAUUAUUCCUCCACCAAAAUCCAAGUGGACCAGCCGAAAAAGAAUCAGAACUGGAACUGGAGGAAUUGCCAUCCCAUUUGAAAUAUGUUUUCUUAAAUGGGGAAACCAACAAUCCAGUUAUCAUUAAUAGUGAGUUGUCCAAAUUGGAAGAGGAAAAACUUAUACAAAUCUUGAAAAAGCAUCAAGCAACAUUGGGAUGGACCUUAAAAGAUCUCAAAGGCAUCAGUCCAUCAUAUUGCAUGCAUAAAAUCAUGAUGGAAGAUGAUUACAAACCACAUGCUCAACCACAAAGAAGACUUAAUCCGACAAUGAAGGAAGUAGUAAGGAAAGAGAUUGUAAAAAUGUUAGAGACUAGCAUGAUUUACCCCAUUUUAGAUAGAAAAUGUGUAAGUCUAGUCCAGGUGGUGCCGAAAAAAGGAGGGAUGAUGGUGAUCCGAAAUGAAAACAAUGAACUCAUUCAGACCAGAGAUGUUACUGGUUGGAGAGUUUGCAUUAAUUACCGCAAACUCAACACCCCCACAAGAAAAGACCAUUUUCCUCUACCCUUCAUGGAUCAAAUGUUGGAAAGAUUAGCUGGAAAAGCCUUCUACUAUUUCCUGAAUGGGUAUUCCGGAUACCAUCAAAUUGAUGUGGAUCCAUUGGACCAAGAAAAGACAGCAUUUACAUGUCCAUUUGGUGUUUUUGCAUAUAGAAAAAUGCCAUUUGGACUAUGUAAUGCUCCUACAACUUUUCAAAGAUGCAUGUUGGCUAUCUUCGCUGAUUUAGUGGAGAAAUGCAUCGAGGUCUUCAUGGACGAUUUUUCUGUAUUUGGAGACUCUUUCGACAAUUGCUUAACAAAUUUGGAGACAGUUUUGGCAAGAUGCGAGCAGGCUAAUUUGGUUCUGAAUUGGGAAAAAUGUCAUUUCAUGGUCACUGAAGGAGUUGCACUUGGGCAUAAAAUUUCAACUAAAAGAUUAGAAGUUGAUAAAGCUAAAAUAGAAGUGAUCGAAAGCUACCUCCUCCAACAAAUGUUAAAGGAAUCAGAAGCUUUCUCGGACAUGUUGGGUUUUGUCGUAGAUUUAUCAAAGUAGAUUUAUCAAGGACUUCUCCAAAAUAGCUAAGCCUUUAUGCAAAUUACUCUUAAAAGAUUUUGUCUUUAAUUUUGAUAAUUCCUGUUUAGAAGCAUUUAAACAAUUAAAAUUAUGCUUGGUAACUGCUCAUGUCAUUACUUCACCUAACUGGAAAUCCCCAUUUGAACUAAUGUGUGAUGCAAGCGAUUAUGCAGUUGGUGCAGUUCUAGGACAGAGAAGAGAACGUGUAUUUCAUUCAAUACAAUAUGCUAGCAAAGUGCUAAAUGAAGCACAAAUUAAUUACGCUACAACUGAAAAAGAACUGCUAGCAAUAGUAUUUGCAUUGGAAAAAUUUAGAAGUUAUUUGAUUGGGGCAAAAACAAUUGUUUAUACUGUUCAUGUCUCAAUCAAAUAUCUUCUAAAGAAACCCGAUUCCAAGCCACGAUUAAUUAGAUGGGUGUUACUUUUGUAGGAAUUUGAUUUAGAAAUGUAUUAGGCUGUAAUACAAUUGCAUUGAACUGUAUCAGACCAUAUUGAUAUCAAAAAUAUUAUUUUAUUCACACAAAAAUUCGCACUGCAAAAGCCGCAAUCCAUAUCAUAAUGACCUCAAUAAUUACAAUCGCAGUAAGUAAUUACAACCCAACUAUAAUUAAAAACACUGAAUUAAACUAUUCAAAUGCAAGUGAUAUAGAAUCCCAAAUAGGGAAAGAAGAAAUGAAAACCCAAAUGAUCAAGGUGUUAAUAAAUUAAGCUUCGUGACUAUUAUAAACAUAUUUAGAAUUAUAUUUAUUGUGGAUACAUAAAAAUAGUUUGCUAAUUUUUGUGUAAAAGUAAUUGAUAAGUAAUUCAAAAAUGAAAGAUUUAAUUGAGAAAUAAGAAUGUAUUAAAUCUUACAGUAUUUCAUAUGAUAAGUCAGUUUGUUGAAAUAUAAUUAUAUUUUCCUACAAAUUCUCCUCCAUUGUAUAAAAAAAUUGUCCAACAAUUGUCAAGCUUUAAUUUCAAUAAUUACAAUAGGUUAGUUAAUUAUAUAGUUCGAACGAACGUAAAGAUAUUCUAUUAUAAAAAAAGAACUAUUCUAUUAUAUAUAUAAUUGAUUAACUUUACGAUAAAAAAGGUAAGAAUCGUUGUUAUUGUGAGAAAUCAAAACAAUUAAUAUAAAUUAUUGUAUCUUAUUUGAAUGAAAAAGAUUAAAAGAAAUUGUCGUAUAACUAAUAACUAGUUUUUAAUCUUAAUCAUUCAUAUUACACUCUUAGUUUAAAACUAUUUGACAUACAUAUUUAAUAAUUGAAUAUUAUUAUCAAUGAAAUAUAACUGAACAAGGAAUGUGAUAGUAACCCAUAUAAAGAAGGCCCAACUCGGCCCAAAAGAAAUAGGCAAAACACUAAAUGGCUUGCAGAUUAUGUUGAAGAAAUUUAAUUAUAUUUUCAGUUGUUUAUUUUCAAUUAAAAUAUUGGGUCUAGUAUGUAAGCCCAAUGUAGGAUGGAAACAUUAAAAACUACUUGAAAGGGUAUAUGUAGCCAGCUGGCUGCUGGAGGAAGAAAUGAAGUAUUAUUCAGUAUAUUUUCUUGUUGAUUAGCUAGUUAAUUUCCUCGCUUUUCUAAUUAUCUAACUCUUAGAAAGUUCCCUAACAUUUUGGUGCUUUCAUUCUUGCCUCAUGCCUCCUAAAAACUCCAAAGACAUAAAUGAAUCUCUUCUGCAAAUAUUUGUAGAAAAACUGCAAGAGAACAAGGAUCAGCAGGAUACAAGACAUGAAGCCAUUGCUGAAUCUCUCAGAUCUAUCAUAGAAAAGCUUGUAGGUAUUUCUUUGGUCCCACUUCAAUCACCUGACCCACACAAUCAACCAUCUUCCUCCCACAUUACACACUCAAACCCUCAACUCCAAAACCAAUCAUCACCAGCCCCACCAUCGCCCCCAUUUUACACACCCUCUCCAGCCCCUCCCUUCUUCUCACCUCAUUCCACAUAUUCUAAACCAACAUUCAACCCCACCUUCCUUUCCCCCCAACAACCACGUCCCCCAAAGUUACAAUUAAUCCCCUAUGAUGGAUCUGAGCUUCUAGAUUGGUUGUUUCAGGCAGAAUAAUUUUUUCAACUGUAUCAGGUUCCAUCUGAACAGCGUAUGCAUCUUAUUUCAUUUUAUAUGAAGGGAGAAGCAUUAAGUUGUUUCAAAUAGGUAUUCUUAAAUGCAACUAUUAGCGACUGGGAAAGUUUUACCAGAUCCUUGGAGAUUUGUUUUGGACCAUCAUGCUAUGAUAAUCACCAGGCGAAAUUAUUCAAGCUUCGUCAAACUGGUUCAGUGGCAGAAUACCAGAAGUAGUUUGAGAAGAUCUGUAAUAGAAUUUGGGGUCUUUCUCCAGAUGUAAUUUUAAAUUAUUUUUUGUCUAGACUAUUACCAUAAAUAAGGAGAGAACUGGCUAUUUUGUGGCCCACUAAUAUUGUUGAAGCAUUAGGCCUAGCCAAAUUGGUUGAAUAAAAAAUUAAAGACUCAAAAUUCUCUUUCCCUAAACAUCCUCGUUAUACACAACCAAACACUUCCACACCCCAAAUACCACAAGUUAACCCAAAACAACCUCAAAUUCCCAUACGUCGUCUCACAACGGCUCAAAUGCAGGAAAGACGGGCCCAAGGCCUCUGCUAUAAUUGCGAUGAAAAAUUUCAUGCAGGACAUAAGUGCCAACGUUUUCUACUACACUUGGAGGAUGAUUUCCUUAUGGAAGCAGAGACUUAUCCACCUAACCUUGAAAAUAUGGAUGUUGAACCCCAAGACACCCAAGAUGAGCUAAUUCAUUUUCAACUCUCUGAACAAGCCUUAGAGGGACAACCCUCUCCAAAAACACUAAGGUUUCGGGGCUUUAUAGAAAGACAUCCAAUGACGGUUUUGGUAGACAUUGGAAGCUCACAUAAUGUCAUUCAACCAAGGUUGGUACAUUACUUACAACUACAAGUUUCCCCAACGCCACAAUUUCCGGUCAUGGUGGGAAAUGGUGCACACAUUUAUUGUACGAGGUUAUGUUCAAACACUUCGAUGAUGCUGCAAAAUCAAUUAUUCCAUAUCCCUGUCUAUUUACUUCUCAUCAAAGGAGCGGACGUUGUCCUAGGGAUUGAGUGGUCGCGUACACUUGGGUCAGUAACCUCUGAUUUUGAUAUUCCUUCCAUGUCAUUUAAGGUAGGUGACAACACUAUCACACUCCAAGGGGAUACUACUCAUUCCUAUGCACCUUCCACCAACUAAAUCGCCUAAUCCACAUUGAUGACAUAGUCUCCUUACACACAAUCACCUUCUUAACCCUUACACCCACAUGCCCAUCCCAAACACCUAGUCAACCAGAUAUACAUCCAGAUAUCACCAACCUUCUCUCUAACUUCAAACCUUUAUUCCAACACCAACAAGGCCUACCCCCAACUACACCACAUGACCAUCAUAUUACACUUCUCCCAAACACAACCCCAAAAAAUAUCAAACCAUACAGAUACUCACACUACCAAAAGGAGGCAAUGACCACUAUGAUUCAAGAGAUGUUAAAAGAGGGCAUAAUAACUCCGAGAACUAGCCCUUUCUUUUCCCCAGUUCUACUUGUUAAAAAAAAGAUGGUACUUGGCGAUUCUGUGUGGAUUAUAGGGUACUGAAUGCCUUGACAGUUCAGGAUCGUUUCCCAAUCCCAAUCAUUGAGGAGUUGUUAGAUGAACGUGGAGUUGCCAUUGUUUUUUCAAAGAUUGAUUUGUGAUCUGGAUACCAUCAGAUCCAUGUGCAUCUGGGGGACACACACAAGACAACUUUUCGAACAUUUGACGGUCAUUAUCAGUUCUUAGUUAUGCCGUUUGGGCUGACUAAUGCGCCAUCUACAUUUCAGGUGGCUAUGAAUGACCUCUUAAGGCCACAUCUACGACGAUUUGUAUUGGUAUUCUUUGAUGAUAUACUUAUCUAUAGUAGUUGUUUAACUGAGCAUUUAUGCAUUUGUGAGUCAUUUUGGACCUAUUGGUUUCUAAUCAGUUUUAUGCCAAACUUUCUAAGUGCUCUUUUGGUGUAUCAUCUAUUGCUUAUCUCAGCCACAUAAUUUCAACAGGCGGGGUCAAACCAAACCCCGACAAAAUACAAGCAAUGGUUGAUUGGCCACAACCCCGUUCUCUCACGGUCCUAAGGGGUUUCCUGGGCCUCACGGGAUUCUAUCGAAAGUUUGUUCAACAUUAUGCAUCUCUCGCCGUUCCCCUCACAGAUUUAUUAAAGUUACAUCGAUUUACAUGGUACUCAGAGGCACAUUCUGCCUUUACAGUUCUAAAAAAAGUUAUGACAACAACACCUGUAUUACAACUUUCGGAUUUUUCAGAAUCAUUUGAUGUGGAAACUGAUGCAUCCGCUGUGGCCAUCGGGGUUGUCCACUCUUAGAAGGGUCAUCCACUUGCUUACUUCAGUAAGAAAAUAUCCACUAGGAUGCAACAUCUUCUGCCUAAGUCCGAGAAAUGUUUGCAGUGACCGAAUCUGUUAAGAAGUGGAGACAAUAUUUGUUGGGCAAACAAUUUACCAUCUAUACUGAUCAGCAAAGUUUGAAACACUUGAUGACUCAAGGGUUCCAAACCCCUGAGCAACAAAAAUGGGCAAGCAAACUAAUUGGCUUUCAAUAUAUCAUCAAAUAUAGGACUGGUACCUCGAAUAGGGUUGUAGAUGGCUUAUCUCGAUGUUACACUGAUGAGGUUUCCAUCCUGGCAUCAUUGUCUUCACCAUUUCCUCAAAUAAUUGAUAGACUAUGUUAGUUAUACUCCUCAACAGAGGGUCAUACAUUUAUAAAAAAAUGGAAUCACAUGGAUCUUGGCACAAAUAUUACUAAUUAUCAUAAGGGUUAUUACUCUACAAGGGACACAUAUUUAUACCUGGGUUGGAAAACUUGCGUCUCUCCUUGAUCCGUGAGUACCAUUCAACACCAGCAGCUGGACAUUCCGGAUGGAAGGCGACCUUAGCCCGAAUCUCAGCCUCUUGUUCUUGGCCCGACAUUGCAAAACAAGUCAAGACUUUUGUCUGCCGGUGUACUAUCUUCUAAACCAACAAGUACCUGCCACAAAAACCACAAGGACUGUUACUACCACUUCCAAUCCUGGAAAAAGUAUGGGAAGAUCUAUCAAUGGAUUUUGUGACCCACUUACCAGCAUCUCAUGGACAUACAAUGAUUUGGGUCAUUGUGAAUCGACUCACCAAAUACGCACAUUUCAUAGCUCUUCCAACAAAAUUUUCAGCAGAGACCCUAGCCAAUUGCUUUCUCACCGAGAUCUGUCGACUACAUGGGAUACCCAAGUCUAUUGUUUCUGUCCACGACAAGAUCUUCAUCAGUGCCUUUUGGAAAGAGCUUUCCAAGCUGUUGGGAACCACCCUUUGCUACAACAGUGUACCAUCCUCAAUCAGAUGGACAAACAAAAGUCGUAAAUAGAACUUUACAAACUUACCUUUGCUGUCUCACAAGCACACAACCAAAAAAGUGGUUCACUUGCCUCCCUCUAGCUGAGUACUGGUACAACACAAGUCAUCCUUCCUCCUUACAAGUUUCUCCUUUUGAAGCAUUGUAUGGUCGUGUUCCACCGAGCCUCAAGGACUUUUUACCAGGCAGAGCAUCUAAAAGCCAAAUACAUGAUAUCCUGCACACAAGGGCAGAGUUAUUAUGUAGUGUUAAGCAACAUCUUAAACAUGCACAACAACGAAUGAAAAUACAGGCUGAUACAAAGAGAAUGGAUAUUACCUUCAUGCCAGAAGAUUGGGUGCUAUUGAGGUUGCAACACUACCAUCAUCAGUCAAUAUUCCGACAACCGUCCAAGAAGGUAUUUCAGUCCCUUCAAGAUUCUAAAAAGGAUUGGCCAAGUUGCAUAUGAACUAGCUUUACCAGAACACUCCAGGAUCCAUCCCGUUUUUCACGUCUCGGUUUUACGAUGUUUCCAUGGGGAACCAAAUGGUGAGAUCAUUGAGUUACCGCUGGAAUCGGUGCGUCGCGAGGACAGUUUGCCUCGAGAGACCAUGCCACCUUCACUUGGGGACGAGAACACCCUAGAAACUCCAAAAUAAGGUUCAGAGUAUUCGGUGCGGCGAUUAAAGGAGCAAAAACCACCACUUGGAAAUGAGGACAAAUAACCACUUGGAGGAGAGGAUGGGUAUUCGGUGAUGGUCGAUGAAAAAGAAAAACCAUCAAGGGAGAAGGGAGAGGAACCAUGGUGCAAAGAAGAAGAUGAAAUAAAGAUGAGAAAUUUUUUGAUAUGAAGGGAGAGAAGAAAAAAAAUGAGUCGUGGAAUCCAUGGAGUAAAAAAGUAAAUGGCUUGAAUGAAAGUAAGUGGGAUAUUAACACUUUUCCCAACUCCCUAAGAGAAGUACAUUUUGAUUCCCAUGUGCCUUCAUCUCCACCUUUGGAUUUGAUGGAAUUCUCUAGACCUUUAGAUGGCUCUCUACCCCCUGCACUAAUUGAGUCCACUCAGUUAACUGGCACAAUUAAUGCCUCGAGCAGUGCAGCUAAACGUGUUUUCGUUACCAAUACAUCUGCACACUUCACUCAAAAUUCAAAAUUCAAAUCUUUUCAUAUCUCACCAUCAAUUAAUGAAGACAUUAAUUCCUGAUCUAGAUUAAUCUCACUGUCCAACCCUCUCCAUUCCACAAGUAACACGUGGACAAUUGGUUCUCAAAACCUUGUGGACAAGGUUUCUCUUGAAGACAUGGGCAAUGAUAGCAACCCAGAUAAAGAAGGCCUAACUCGGCCCAAAAGAAAAAGGCAAAAAGCUAAAUGGCUUGCAGAUUAUGUUGAGGAAAUUUAAUUGUAUUUUCAGUUGUUUAUUUUCAAUUAAAAUAUUGGGUCCAGUAUGUAAACCCAAUAUAGGAUGGAAUCCCUAAAAACUACUUGAAAGGGUAUAUGUAGUCAGCUGGCUACUGAAGGAAGAAAUGAAGUAUUAUUCAGUAUAUUUUCUUGUUGAUUAACUAGUUAAUUUCCUUGAUAUUCUAAUUAUCUAACUUCUAGAAAAUUCCAUAACAGAAUGAUAGAAAAAAAAAGGUUGAAGAUGAGAAUAUAGUAUCACUUUAUAUAUUAUGUUAAGUAUAUAUAUGCACCGAAAAAAAGUAUACAUAUACACGUCUGCGAAGUUAGGGUUUGCUUACUUUUUGAAUGGCUGUCACAAAUCACAACCAAUCGGGCAUAGAAUUCGAGCAACCCAAAAGUUGCCUAUAAUUUUUCACAGCAAAGAUAAUUGCAACCUUUCUCUUUUUCGCAAUAUCACUUGACUUUCUAUCUUAAUUUUUUUUUGAUAUUUUUUAUUAGGAUGUAUGAAAAAUGAUAUAUCCUCCUACAAUUUUUUUUUAUCUUUCAUACACCAUAAGAAAGAUAGUAUAUGUUACAAAGUGAUAUUUUUUUAUUAAUGUUUGGUUUGCAAGUGAUGUUGGAACAUGGUUUGUUGAAAACCAUUAGUGGCAAGAGAAUUGACACAUGGUAGUCAGUAUUGUGGGAAGAGAAUUGGCACGGGUAGCCAUAUGGUGGGUAAUUUCGAGAAUUGGCAUUGGUAGUCAUAUUGUGGUGGGUGUAUUCGAGAUUGGUUCUUACAAUGCAGUAAGAAUUUGAUAACAGAGAUUUGGACUGUUUUAUCCUGGAGACGGCGUGGUUGAUAGUAUGCUUGCACAUUUUGGGCAGUGCCACGAAACGUCUUAAAGAGAGCGACCUGGCCGUGACUCAUACAGUAAGUAUUAUUUCAUGUCAUUUAGAAUUGCUGCAUUUAGAAUUGUUGCAAGCUACAAUAACAAGUGAUAUACGUAAUUUUCUUAUUGUAUAGAGGGGUUUGUUUGAAAUUUUUUAGGAAUUAUUUUUUUCAGUCUAAAGAUUUAUUUUUUUCACCUUUUCAUAAUUUUUAGUCUAAAGUUUCUGCCUUGUUGCUCUAAUUGUCUUUGAACGCCUUUUUCAUUGCACAUACUAAACUUAUAUUUUUACUCUCCUGUAUUUUAAGUGUCCUUUUAAAAGAAUACAUGAGAUCUUAGCUUGAUCUAAUAAAAAAACAUUAAAUAUAUACCAGUCUUAAGUGAAAUGGACUAAUAUAUUUUAAUAAAAUAAUUUGCAUCUAAAUACUCCGAAAAAUAAACCCCCAUAAUGACUAAAUUAUUUUAAUAAAUUAUUCCAAUCAAUUUAAAAAUCUCAAUUUGGUGUUCAAUAUUAAAACCUAAUAUAACCCCUCAACAUGGUUACUUCAUCUUUAAUAUAACUUUAGAUUGAGCCUUAUAUAGAAAGAAAAUUCUAACUAAAAAAAUAAUAUGAGAAUAUAUAAUAUGAAUAUUUCUAACUCCAAUUCAACCCUGGAUAUAUGUGUGUAGCAUUACUAAAGAAAGCAUCCAACAAUUAAGGUUUGUUGUGAUUUUGAAUUACUUUACAUUACCUUUUUUCGAGCUUUAAAAUCUCUCUCACUCAUUUUAAAAAUAACAAAAAUAUCAAAAUUCACAUUAAAAAUGGAAUGUUGCAAAUUAUUAUUUUUAGAUUUUCCAUACAGACUAUUUUUCUACAUUAAGUAUGGACACCAAUUAUUGUCCUUUUAUUUUUUUUUUGGUAUUUUCAGAAGGGUAUAUAUAUUAAAGAUAUGAAGUAAGAGGUAAAUACAAUUUUACUAAUUAAUUAAGCAAAUCGCACUCAUGAAACAUACACUACAUUAGAAUCGUAAAACAAUGGUGUUUAAAAUUAUUAUUCUGUAGUACUUUUGGACAUUGUUUAUGUUAGCGCAAAAAAAUUGUGAAUUCGGACAUCGUGAAAGUAGACACAUAUUAACGACCCCUUAAAUGUUACAAGCGUGAAGGAUAGGAGUUUGUAGGGAAAUAAGAAACCACAAUUGGUGCUCCCUUUGAUUCUGAUUUGCUCUUUGGUUUCUCUGAAGAAAUAGAUUUCAAUUGAGACCCUUCAGCAUGAUCAGAAACUUGUGCUGAUGAGGAUGUAGAGGGAGCAAAGCAAUUUAAGAAAACUGAAACUAAAGCCAUUUAGUUUCUCAAUUACUUUACUUUUUUUACUAUUAGUGCGUAGUUUCAGCUAAAGUGUAUGUGGUAGUUGUAAUUCCUGUUUCUAACGAAGCAAAAAGUGAUUUGAACAAGUUAAAGACAAUGAAAACUAAGGGCAAAAUAGUGGGGUGCAAUCUAAAAUUGAAUUGGAUAUUUUUAUAAUGG